ACUUUUUUUUUUUUUUUUUUUUUUUGGGUUUAAGGGCAAAAUUCACUUCACCCCCUUGUGGUUUAGCAAUUUUUCACAUAACCCCCCUAUAGUUCUAAAAAUUAUAUAUAGCCCCCUCAUAAUUUGGAUUAAAGUAUCAAAUUGUUGAAAAUGAUCAUUUGUAACGGAACCCAUAAAAUGUCGAAAUUAUCUUUGUUUAAAGGGUAAAUUAUAUUUUAUCCCCUAUAGUUUAGUAUAUUUGUACAUAACCCCCAUAUGGUUUUAAAAUUUAUACAUAACCCCCUCAUGAUUUAAAUUAAAGUGUCAAAGUGAUAGAAAUGAUCAUUCGUAACCAAACCUUUAAAAAUAUUGAAAUUACUCUUAUUUAAAAAUUAAAAUGGUUGAAAUGACCAAAAUAUAUAAAUAUAAUAUAUAUGACGCACUAACCCAGUAUGAUUUUAUAUUUUUACCAUAUAACCCUCUUAUAAUUUAAUAUUUUACCAUAUAACCCCUUAUAGUUUUCAAAAUAUACACAUCACCCCAUUGUGGUUAGUAAAUAAUUUUCAACUUUACAUAGGAGUAUUUUUUACAUUUUAGGUGACUCCAUUUUGGAUUGUAAAUCUCGUUACUUUGACACUUUAAUCUAAACUAUGAGAGAGUUAUGUAUAGUUUUUGAAAUCAUAGGGGGGUUAUGUACAAAAACACUAAAUCACAGGGGGUAAAGUGUAAUUUGCCCUUGUUUAAAAAUUAAAAUGGCUAAAAUGAUCAAAAAAUAUAAACAUAAUAGGCAUGACACUCUAACCCCGUAUGAUUUUUAUGCUUUACCAUAUAAACCCAUUACGGUUUACUAUUUUAUCAUAUAAUCCACUUAUGGUUUUCAAAUAUAUACAUAACUCCCUAUGGUUCAUAAAUAAUUUUCAACUUUACAUGGAGGUACUUUUGAUAUUUUAGUUGACUCCAUUAUGGAAUGGAAAUUUCGUUAUUUUGACAUUUUAAUCCAAACCAUGAGGGGUUAUGUAUAACUUUUGGAACUAUAGGGGAGUCAUGUGAAAAAACGCUAAAUCACUAGGGGGUAAAGUGUAUUUUACCCUUUUUUUAAAGUGAUAGGUUUUUAAUCCAAAACCUUCUACUUACAAUCCAUUUCACCUUACCAUCCAAUUCAACCCUAUCUUGGGGACUUCACAAUCUAAUUGCGGCGUAGAACAAUUAACUCACAUCUCUAGGUACACACCAUGUAUAAAACAAGUUCAUCUAUUAUUAUGUUUAGAGUUCAAAACUGUUGAAACUUGUACAAUGUUGUAUUGAAACUUGUAGAUCUAUACGCAUUAUACAAUGUUGUAUUGUGGUGGACUUUUCAUAUAAAAUUAAUAAAUUAAAUUCACAGAUAAAAGAAGUAAACUAACAAUUUUAAUGCACCACAACAAUAUAACUAGUCACUAUUUAGAUAGUAGUGAACAUUCUAAGAAACAGUUCUAGUGAAACACUCAAAAUUAGACGUUAAUUCUUGAACUCUUUUAAUUGAGUCUCAAACACGCAAAUCUUUCAAGUACUCGAGCUCUCUAACUCUCUCUUACAAACCGAAGAAAGAGCCCCUAUUCAAUCUAGCAAGUUUGCGACAUCCGGCACCUUUUUCCUCGUCUCAAGCUGUCUAAUUUUGCUACAUAUACCAUAAAUAUUUAUAGAACAAAAGCCUUCUAAACUUUUAGUCAUUGAAUGUGGCCAACAGCUUCAAUAUUUAUACCACAAAUUGUUAAUACAAUACAAAAUGUAGAGUGUGGCUCCUGAUCCAAUUAAUUAGAGACAGCAAAAAUAAUUUUGUCACGAUGGAUGGCUACACUAAUGAAAUAAAAAAUAUAUAUAUUCAUUCUCACAGGUACAAUGAGCAGUUCGAUAUUCACUAGAAAGGAUGAAAAAUGCAGAGUAAUUUGUUCCGAUGAAUUUGAAAAUAUCUGAAUUUAUGUACAUGCGGCACGUGCAUUAUUUUCUUGUUUUGUCCCCGUUACUUCACCAAAUCCAAUGAAAUUGGAAAUGGAUGUUAGGAAAUUCGAUUUAUUUUUCAUCUAGAUUGUGUGGCAAGUAAGUAAUUUCUAACAUUUUCUAUUUAGUAUUUACUUCAAAUAGUCAUUAAGAAAAUUUCUAUAUACAUGGGUUUCGUAAGCAUGUUAAGUCGUUCAAUUUCAUUAGUCGGGCAAUGGUUAAGCAACGCAUUCUAUAAAUAGGUGGGGAGUGGCAACACACAAAAGGAGCCGCGUGGUCUUAUGCAUGAGGUAAAAGAAGUUAGACAAAGGUUAAAUUUGAGGUUCAAGUCGUAUUCUUAUUUGAGGUUCUUCCCUUAUAAUAAAGAAUAGGUGUUCUUUCCCUAGUCAUAAGUUUUAUAAUUGAAUCAAACCAGGUUAAAUAUUUUCUAUCACUCUUAUUUCAUGCGGUGGUUUGGUGUCAUUAAAUGGUUAAGUUCUUGAUUGUUCAAUAAUUAUUUAUUUUGCAUCGUGGAUCCCAACAACAGGCAUCAGAGCAUAGUUGGAUCGGAUUAAAUAUUGAUAUCAAAAGGAUUUGUAACAAUUAUCAAUUUAACAAUUUAAUAGGGUCAACAUCCUUGUUCAAGAAAGUUUGGUAGGGGAAAGGAUUGGAAGCCAACUAACGUCUCAAUAGGUGAUAAAGAAUAAAAGAAAAUAGUGGAGUCCAACGUAACAUUUGAAUCUAAUCCAAUGGAGAUGUUUUCACAAUUUUCAAAUAUGUGUACUUCGCUUGGAUUUUAGCUAUUGGUUGUAGCCAUUCUUUGGUUCGUGUGGUGUAUGUCCAUAGGCACAAAAAAUUUAAAUUUCCAUGCGUUAAUAGGCUCUAAAUGCUGGGCGGAUUUUGUUAGAGCAUUAAAAACUACACACACGGCGAGAUACCUCUGCUGAAAGUGUAGCUGUCAAACAAACCCAUGUAACUGAUUUAUCCAUAUUUGUCCAUGAAUAGAUGAGUAUGGGUAUUUUAAAUUUUUGUAUAUGGGUAUAAAUGGGUUACCCAAUAAUACUCAUUUAUUAAAUAAAUAUUAUUGGGUAACCCAUCAAAUCCAAUUAACCUAUUUAGGAUUGUUUUCCUCCAAAUCUCCUCUCUUCCCCUACCCAUUUUUUUUUUCAAAAUUUUUAUUUUGUCAUGAUAUUAACUACUUUUGUCUCAUUAUUAUUAUUAUUGUCGGUUUUAUCUUAUCAUUUUAUUUUCUCUUAGUUUGUUAACUUGCUCAUUUUUCAGCAUUACCAAUUUAUGACAAGUUUUAGCCUUUUUUCUUGCUUUUCCAAAAUGAAAUUUUAAAUUUACAUACAAAAAAAUGAUAGAGGUUCAAAAUUUUUUGAUUAAGCUUUUAUGUUAACUUUCAUAGUACUUAGUUCAGAUUUUUAUAUUAUCAUUGUUUAAUUAUUAAAUAGUAUGUAAUUUUGCGACAUAGAGUACGGAUGGAAAAUAAAUUGACAAUUAGUUUUAUUGAGUAUUAUAAAUAAAUAUUUAAAACUAAUGAUGUGUGCAAAGGAUGGUAUAAAUUGAUAACUUAGUUUGAAAAAAUGAAUUUAAAUGAAUUUACAAAAGUUAAAAUAAAUGGGUAAUUGGGUUAUCCAAUUCAUUUUUUGACUUACCCAUUUAUACCCAUCUAAUUAAAUGGAUAUAUGUGGGUUGACUUAUUUAUACCCAUUACGCAUUUUACCCAACCCAAAUCCGACCAAAUCACCCAUUUUGAUAUCUUUAGUUGAAAGGGAAGAAGUAUGGUUACCUCAAUGGUCGAAAGUGUGGUUUAGGAAAGGGAUAAUUUCAGAAAUCUCCUUGAGGUUUCUAAUAAUUUCACUGGCCUCCAUUGAGAUUUAUAAAAUUACACUUACCUCCCUUGGUAGAAUUGUGGGCCCAAUUACUUACACCAUAUUGGGGAAAAUUACUCAUAUACCCUAAAACAUUAUGUCUUAUAGAAACUAAUAUCUAACGAUUGAGUAAUUAGAGCACUAAUUAACUAUUAAUAACUAAUUAACAGAAAUAACGGUUGAGAAUUUCUUUAAUGAUGAAUAGUGAUUUGCAAUUAUAAAAUAAGGCCAAUUGAUAUACCAAAUGACACAAUUUUAUGAUUGAUAGAACUUGAUAAUGAUCAGAAACCAGUUGUACACAAUAUGAGAAGAAGAACUCUGAUACAAAAAAAACACAAGGCAAAAGAAGAUUGUUCAUGAGAAAAUUUUCUUUGAAACUUUUAAAACUGUAAUAGUUGUAAAGCAAUUUUGUGGAAGUAAAGGAGAGAGAAUGGAAAAGAAAGGCAAAAUUCAAAAAAAAUUUAUGUUCAAAAUCACAAGAAUCAUAGCAAAUCUAAUGUUAAGAGCAAUGAUUGGUCUGUUUUACUGAAUCUUAUGAUCAUUAGUUUAGUUUUAUUGUUUAUUUGUAUUGUCUAAUAUAUUGAACAUGAACUAUUUCAGUAAUCAAAUGUGUGUUUUAAUUGUUUCUAAUUUUUAAUUGUUUUCAUUUUUUUACUAAUACAAUUUAUAAACAUAAAUAAGGGGUAGUUAUGGGAUAAAAGUUUCAUCUCUCUCCUUAAAAUACCUUUUUAAUGUCACUUUUUCUGAUUUGGACUAAUUUUGUUACUAAAACAUUAAACUCAGGGGAAGUUUGUGUAAUUUGACAAACCUCAAGGGAGGCUAGUGAAAUUGUUAGAACAUGCAGGGAAUGUUUCUGAAAUUAUCCCUUUAGGAAAAGGAAUCCAAAGUUGCUUCCAAAUUAUAAGUGGUGGCAAAAAGGAAAAUCUUACAAACGGAUAAUAAAUUGAGCAAUGAUUGGGCCUUGGUCCAAUGAUUAGGGAGAGGCUAUUAAAACUCUCUCGUAUACUAGGUCGAGAGGUUUAAACUUUGCCAAAUGCAUUACGAGGAAGUGUAGUGCUUACUUGUUCUUAAAAAACUAGAGGUACUUGAACUGUGCAAAGCACAGUUUGGGCCCCCUAGAAAUUUAGUCGAAUGCAUAGCAUCAAAUUAUUUUGCCACAUGAUGAAUGAAUAGAAAUAUAGGAGAAAAAUUGAGCAUCAAAGCAAUUAAAAUUGACAAAUAUUAUUUGAACUCUCAUUUUUGUUAAUCAUACUUCCGCUAUUAUUUUUAUCAUAUAGCUUUUGUUUAUUAUAGGAAUAGAAUUAACAAAAUAUGGAGAAUAAAUAAAAUUUCUCUCAAAAUUUGUUGUAAAGAGAAAUCCCAUCUAUGAAUUCGACCACCCUAUUUAUUGUGAUUUGAAUAAAGAUUUUUGAACCACUAUUAUAUGAUACCCAAGAAGGAGAGAAAAUUAAUACACUAUAAGUGCAUUGAUGCAUUAAUAGUAGUAUAGUUUUAGUUAAAACUAAAUCAAAAGCAGUCAUAAUACUUUUAGUACUUUAAUAAUGAGAAAAAUUUUAGGAAGCUGCUAAAACAUCGCACAAUCUUCAACAUCAAUAUAGCUUACUAUAAACUUUUAUAUUUUUCUUUCAUUUGAUAGAAGAAUCUAGUUCAUCUAUUUAAAUUCCGCCUAAAGGUAAUAACAUUAUCCUGCAGCUCCAGAAUAUAAAUAGUAAGAUUAGAUAAAAAUAUGAAUUGCUAUGUUUCCUGAUCUACAUAUACAAAUUAGAAUUGAACUAUUUUUUAUUGCAAAACCAUCUUCCUAAUCAAAAUUGAAUUUUCUAACAAUUUUUUGUCAAGUCAUAUUCUAGGCUGAAAGCCUCAAUUGUGACUUCCACCACUGACUGUAAUCCUUGUAUACCAACCCAAUUGAUACUACAACACUUGAGUACUUAAAAAACAAACAAAAAUUAACUUUAUUUUAAAUAUAUACAAAAUCUUAUUGGAUCCUUCAAUUAAAUUGAAUAGGCCAUAAAGUAAUUGCAAUAAGAAAGAAAUGGAGAAAAACGGAGGUACAAGAAUGCCUAGCUAGAUUUAUCUUGGUGGAAACAUCACAUGAUAUAUCUUUCUCCUAAAAAAAUACACAAAAUUGUAGAUAAUUACAAAAUGGAACCAAAAAAACAAAGCAAAGGAAACAAAAUGUGAAGUCAGAAAUCAAAUCAUGGGAGGAGAAAAUAAAAGAAUGAAUUUUUGUUCUAUUAUUCAUAGAAAAUGAUCAUUGGUAUAAAAUGAAUUCUAAGAUAUUUUAAUAUUUCACCUUUUAUCCAUAAAGAACUACCAAAUAAAAACAUCAUCCUAUAAAUUUAACAAACAAAUGCCAGUUGGCUAUAACAUUAUGAUAAAAAAAAUAGAGCAAACAUGAGAGAUUAGAGAUGAAGAAAAAAGGAAGAAAAGAAAAUGUAAAAUGGGAUAAAAAUAAUAAAGAAUUCUUUUUGCUAAGUAGCUAUCAUCUUGACAAAAAAAAAAAAAAAAACAUGGCAGCAAUCUUAGUUAGAUUAGUUUUAAAAAAUAAAAAAUAAAAAAAGUGAGGGAUGACAUUAGUUACUGCAAGAAGAAAAAGAAGAGAUGGAGUUGAUUUUCUUAAGGAGAAAAAAUAUUUUAAUCCUUUAACACAAUUGGAUCAAAAAUGGGAAGGAAAAAUUUAGGUAAAAUAAUCAAAGGUCCACUUGUCAAAAAUAUAUGCAUUACAUGUGUCAAAAAGAUGGUUAGCUACAGUAACUUGAAUUUUUUUUUAUAUACAAGGUAGAUCUUACUGCACUUGUUUGGUCUGGUAGGCUAGUGUAGAAGUUCCGGUGCUUUUUUAGACUCCCCUUCCCUAUAGCAUAGGGUAGUGUAGAAGUUCUGAUGGCUCAUCUUAAUGUAGAAAUAGAGUAAAUGUUCCUGCUAAUGACCAAUAAAAGAAAGAUAAUAAAUUGAGCCAUCUCACAUGAGUCAACUUAGUGUAGUUUAAUUGGCUCAUCUAAGUGAAGUUUAAAAUUUUGAACUCCUAAUUAUCCAAACAUAUCUUAGUGUAUUGUGCGUUUAUCUUAUAUGUAAUGACUACGGUAUCACAGUUACACACGUAUGACAUGUACACCAUAUUUUAAUUUAAAAUUUAAAUUCAGUUUAAUUAUCAUGCAUUCACUAGUGACAAAAUAUACGUGGUCAAUGUUAGAAUGCUAAUCUAUGUAUACAGACUUAAAUUCAUAAAAUUUCCAGUGAUAUAGUUAUAAUUUCAUAAGGACCGGUGUUUCGACACAAAAUCGAGAUCAAAUUUAUAAAUUUAGAUCAUAAAAAGAUUUGGAAUAACAUGAUUGGGAGCUCACAACUAUGACUAAACCUACUAUAGUCUUCUUUGGAAUGUAAUUUUUCACCAAAUUUUUUUUAAAUAUUUUUCAAUCACUUUUUUAUUUUACAUACAUCAAGUCACUAUAGUAUAUUUUUUCUAUAAAAUUCCCUAAAAAUAACAAUGUAAAGGGGUAAAUUUUUGUGAAUCCAAUUACUCAAAACAAAAAUAAAGUGGAAAGAAUUGAAAUAUCAGCAUCAUCACCUACCUGCCCCCCGGCCACGGGGCUCGUGUGAUGUCACAGGACUGUUACGGACAGUCGGUAGUCCAAUUAACGGUGGGGUCCGUCGUUCGUCGUAGUCUUCCACUGGACUCUACUGCAGCGGGGCCCCAAGGGAUGUGGUUUCCUAGUCGAAGCUGAGUCAGGAUGGACCCCACCACCUGUAAACAAAUAAAAAGUAUCUGAAAAGAACAGCCAGCGAGCGAGUCCAAUGCUGCCGUUGUUUGGUGGGAUUGAAAUUCAAUCGCCAAUUCACUGCAGGCAACAAUGCGCAGCCCUAUAACAGUGCAUGUAUAGUUUCAUUUUCAUAAUCUUGGUUGGGGAAUUAAUUCCCUUUUAGUCCUAGUAUGCAAUGCAAUACUGCUGUCUUGACGAUCCGUAUUAGUAUAAAUUUCCUGAGGCCUAGGGAAUAUUUUAGAAUAUUUUAUGUUGGAGUUAUUUUUUGUUUCUUGGGUGGAGGGUAAGGAGGGACUAGAAAAGGAAUUAUGACUAAUUUAAGUUCUUUAUGCUGAUGCAUUUUGGGGCAAGAAUUGCUUUAGAACCCCCCAAAUAUCCAGAUUUCGACUCCUUCAAUAAUAACUUAGUCUAAUAAUAAUAAUAUUGGCGGAAUCCACUAGCCCAUUGGUUGUCCAGCCCAAUGGAGUAUGAUAGCAGGAAGCCUGAGUUGAAAGGCUAGUUACUCUCCACAAAGCAUAAUCCAAUCGUACCACUCACCGCAUUUCGCUUGCUGAAACUCGUCCAAUUAUAAUCAAGGACGGAGCUGUCAGUGAACUCACGGAUUGAGCUGUAGACGGUACCUUUGCUGGGAAAAAGCAGAUCAAUCCACUUAAUCACGGACGGAGCUGUCAGUGACGAUUGGCCCAGGGGCCCUUGGGCCUAAGGGAAUAGAUAGAUUGUAUUACAAUGAGUACAAAUAGGCCGCAGGGUACGACGAAGCCCACGGGGUGGCACAUGGUCGUACUUAAGGGACGAACCCGCAACGGAUCUUCUGUCCCACACUCUUGUGCUAUUCUCUGUCUCACUUUUUAUUAUAUUGCUAUUUCUCCUUCAUAAACAUCAUGUUUUAGUUCUUUCUUGUUUCCUUAUGAUUCAAUAACUAUUAAUUCAGUAAAAAAUAAAUACAACAAUUUCAAAAAAGCAAUAUAUAAUAGAAAAUUAAAAAAUACAACAGAAAAUGCAUAAAAGAUCUCAUUUUUUAUGCAUUUUGAUUUUUUGAGUUUGUUAAAUUUUGUGUAUUAAUGAAUUAAUAGUUAUUGGAUCUUAAGGAAACAAAAAAAAACUAAAACAUGAUAUUUAUGAAGGAAAAAUAGCAAUAUAAUAAAAAGUGGGACAGAGAAUGGCACAGAGUGUGGGACAGAAGAUCCGUUGCGGGACGAACCACUGGCAUUACUUAACCAUGCCUUCUGCACUCAAAGGACUGCCCAUUUGUAACCCAUAGAUUAUCCUCCUACUUGGCUCAUCCUUGCCCUCGCAUAGCUGAAAGCUAUUUUAUUUUUUUAAAUCCUUCCACUCCUCUCCGUACCAUUCCAAGCUUCACCUGUUAGGUACAGACUUUGAACUGAGCCUGAUAGCGGGAAGCCUGAGGUGAAAGCCAGUUACUCUCCACAAAGCAUACUCCAAUCAUACCACUCACUGCAUUUCCCUUGCGCCAUGUCUAGCUCAUUUUUUGGUUCAACCACGAGCGCCCAAAGAUGGGCUAAUCAGUUCAAUGAACAUUUAACCAUAUACAUUGAAAAUGAUGCCUCCAUCUUUCGUGUACCAAAAAAAGUAUGCGACACAAAGCCAGAAACUUAUGCCCCUCAGCAGAUAGGCCUAGGAGCAUAUCAUCACUUGAGGCCUGAUCUUGAUGAAAUGAACCGCAGAAAGCUUGAGGCUGUCAAGAUAUUUUUGAAGCCGGAACAGUACCGGAAUUUCAAAAGCCUAAUUGUCGACAAGGUCAAAGAGCUUGAGCCCUCAGUACGCGCUUGCUACAGCAAGUACUUGGACAUUGAUGGCGAUACUUUGGCAUGGAUCAUGUCUAUUGAUGGUGUAUAUUUGCUUCAUCGGCUGAGCACCUAUAGAUAUAAAGGAAGUGUUGAUUCGGAGGACAGGAAGUUUGCUCAGGACAUUGCAAUGUUGGAGAAUCAAAUGCCCGUGAUUGUGCUCGAAGAAAUAUUGAAGGCUAUUCAAGCUCCUGUUGAAGGUGAGGUGCAAGGUGCCGAUGAUGAUGAUGAAGCUGGUGAUGGUGAGGAUGAAGAAGAAGAUGACGUUGAGGAAGAGGAUGAAGGUGAGAACGAGGAAGAAAACAAGGAAAAAAAAUUAAAUCGAUUGUUUUUGUCAUUCUGUAAAGCACACACUCCCCUUGGCCUAACUGAUAAAGCAGGAAUUCUUGGCGAUACCUCUAAUCCUCAUCUUCUGAGUUAUAUGUAUAAUUUGAUUGUGAAAAAUUGGUCUCUUGGAGAUCAGUCUCCCGAAGUUCGUAUUCUUUUAGGUUCGGCUCGACUAGGUUCGGCACUAGUCGAGGGAGCUGGUAAAGCUACACAGGCUGCAAGCGUUGCAGCUGAUUUGACGGGGCAGAAACCUCUGCAACUGUUAGCUAGUUUGCCACUGCAGCAGCUUGCUGCUCUUUUCAAAGAAGAUUCAAAAAAAGGAAACUCUUCAAUUGAAGAGAUCCAUAUCCCAUCAGCUUCCCAACUUGAUGCAAUUUCCAAAGUACAAUUUGAAGUCUGGCGUGAAGAUUCAGGUGUCAAAAUCAUGGAGCUUAAGAAUCGGGUAAUGUGCCUCCCCGUAAUUACUUUGAACACUGAUUCAGAAGUGAUAUUACGAAACCUGGUGGCUUAUGAAGUUGCCUCAGCUUCUCCUGUAUCUACCCUUAUACUUGCCGGAUAUGUGGAUUUCAUGUGCGGCAUUAUUGAUACUGCAAAAGAUGUAGAUUUGUUCAAGGAAAAAGGAAUCAUAGAAAGCAAUCUCCUGAGUGAAGAAAUCGCAGAAAUCUUCAAUGGGAUAAGCAAAUCUAGCAGUCAGCGUGCCCUUCCUGAAUUAGAAGAGGCUACUCAGGAUUUGAAUAGGAUUUAUGACAGCACUUUCACAGUCAGAACUUGGAGAUUCAUAAGAGACUAUUUGAUUCCAUCUGUCAAACUCUUUUUUGCGAUAUUGGUGCUUUUGCUGCUCACAGUACAAGCAGUUUGCCAGGUUUAUGGCUGCAGUGCUAGUUGGCUUGGCAGGGUCAGUUCUAUAUGAUCAUUAUGGUUUUACAGAAAGUUCUUGUUUGCCUUCGGGUUUUGAUCUUAAAAUUAGAAUUUCGUGUUUGUCAAUUUGAGGAGGUGUUAAUUAAUUGUUUGUUUGGAUUGUAAGUUAUUUGGGAUUAUUUGGAAUAUUUUUACUGUAGCAUUUUUUGUGAUGUGACAUAUGUGAGAUAAAAAGGUGUAUUGAAAAUUGUAAUGAUGAUGUAAGCAAAUAAAACUGGGUAAAUAAUGCUCAAUCCAAACAAACUCAUUUAAUAAUUGUUCUUUUGACUACAACCUAAUGAUAAGAGUACUGGUUUGGGAAAAUCUUCUUUCUUUUUCUGUUUUUCAACGCAAAUAUAUUUUUUUUUAUGCAUCAAACUAUAUAUCUCUUACAGUAUUAAUGAAGCAAAAUAGCAUACACAAGCACAAAUUUUGAUUCGAAAUUUUUCUUUGAGUAAAAUAUACUUAAGCAAGUUUUUCCGUAACGCUCUUGUGAUUUCAAAAGAUAUACAUAACCUCUCAUAAUUUGUACUAUAAUAUUAAAGUGAUGAAAACAAUCUUUUAUUGUGACACAUUUAUAUCAUGCAAUCGAAGAAAGAAAACCUAAUUAAACUAAUAAGUUUGAGACGUCGGGCACCCUUUUUCCUCGUCUCAUUUAAUCUAGAAAACCUUUCUUUGGAUCAAACUAUCUAACAUUGCUACCUAAAUCAUAAAUAUAUAUAUACUAGGUAUUCUGCCCUGACGCUAUGCGUCAGGUAGCUAGGACUUAGUAUUUUAUUAUAAUGAGCAUGAGUUUGAAAAAUUGGAGGGCAGAGAGAAUUAUUCAACCGACAGGAAAAGUCAGCAGGGAAAGGUUAGGCCGUGGCAGUGGUUUGCAUUGGUGUUAGCCAGGUGUUUGUUUGCAAACAAUGCACAGUAACUCAUCAAAGGUGCACUGCCGAGAAAUGUUACUUUUAAUCUCCUUGACCACGGAUCAUACAGUUUUUUUUUUAAUCAAGCAGUUAGUAUUAUCACAUCAGUAGACCUUAGCCUUAUUGCCUAUUAAUCAAUUGCUUACUUUGAAGAACAAAAACACCGUUGCAUACCAGCCAAGACUUUUGCAGUUGUCUAACGUCAUUUAGGGGAGUUAUAAUCAUGGACCUAACGAUUGAGUAGCUUUAGGGGCCUGAUGUUCGUGGACUUGAUAAGCUUCUCCUCAUCAUCGGUGUCCACCGUUCAACUCCAUGCGGGUGGCGAAGUACAGGGCGCAGCUCCUUAAUUCCAUGAGCAAAUUGGCAGUUCUCUCCAUAGGGACAUUCCCCGGUCUCUUGCCAUUUGUUACGCAACUCGGUUUUGAACAUUCCCUGAUUGCAGACCUCCAGCUCAACAGUUUGCUUCUCCUUUUCCCUUCCUGGAACAUACACCCUUUGCUGCUGCACUCACACCAUCGAACACGUUACCCAACAAUCAUACGAUCAGGGCAUUAGCUACCGCCGGAUGAUACUGAGCCAAAACACCAGACAUUUCCUAGAGCCCUUCGUUUUGCCUUUAGUAUAAAAUAUAUUCCUGAUUCAUGCGACUCAUAAAGAAAGUAGUGGGAAAGCAUAAACAAAAUAAAUCUGAAAUGGAAAUUAGCAUGUGAUGAAUUCUAAAGAAAAUAAAUCUGGAAAAGAGAUUCACCUUUGUAUUGCGAUAACAAUUUACUUAACCGAUCAAAACAACACUCGGUAAGUUUUCAUGUCUCUUAGUGAAGUCUAAACAGCUUCAUUAAAAAAACGAAUGAACACAUUGAUGAGUCAGGCCAAAUGGUUUACAGAUUCCCCUAUUUCUCUUGUCUUCGUUAGCCCCGUACCCCAAACUCAUCGUCCAAUCCAUGCAACACUGAACUCAUAUCAGAACCCGGAUUCUCACUGCUAAUUUCUGAUAGGAAAAGUUUUAAUGGGGUACGAAAUAUUAUUAUUUCGAGAUAUUUGUAAAAGCAUUAAUUAUGCAAAGACCUGUUUUAUAGUUAAUUCUGGUUUAAUUGCCUCUUCCAAACUUCCGUAUACUCUAUUCCGACCCAUUCUCAAGGCAUUAAUCUACAGCACAGAGAAAAGGAACGAAAAACACAACUUAACAUUUAAUUGAAUAAUAACUAUUACAGCUAUAUCAACGCAAUCCAUUAAUAAGAAAAAGAGCAAUUGUUCCCCAAUUCCAGCCAAAGAAGAACAAAUAAACAUAUCGCAAGGUUACACUGAGUAAUAUCCACCGCAGCUAUACCUAACCCAAGUAGCAGCUGCAUUAAAGCAAAGAAGUAGCAGUAACAGAAGGCAUAACUACAGCAACACUAUCUAUCAGGAAUCAUCGCCGUCCUCAGAAAAUUCAAUACGAAAACAAGGGAAGGAAAAAGCACUGGCCAGAGAAUGCUAAGAAAAGAAUAAAGGAAAAAGACAGGAGAAUGAGGAACGGGAAAAACACACCUGGUAAAGAAGGCCAAGAAAAGAAACAGAGGAAACAAGACCGAGAAAACAAUAAGGAAAAGUAGCAGCGCGCAAAACUCUGAAGCAGUGCGCUCUGGAUUCAGCUCAACUCACCGCCAAAAUUGCUUGAACGCCCAGUAAAGAAAGCCAAGAAAAGAAUGAACUCGCCGCCUAAAUUGCCUGGACACCUGGUAAAGAAAGACAAGAAAAGAAUGAGAGGAAACAAAGCCGAAAUUGUUGACCGCCAAAAUUGCUGCCAGCAAUGACCGAAAUUGUUGACUGCCAAAACCACUGGGCAGGAGUGAUUUUCCAACAAAACCAGUGGCACCCAUUAACAAAAGACCAAAACACCCCUCAAACUCACACAAAUCACGGCAUAACCGGUCCACCAGACACUGUUCACAAGCCAUUCGUGCUUUAUAUAUGUAAGAUAUAUAAAUAUAUAUAUAUUUAUAGGACAAAAGCCAUCUAAACAUUUAGUCAUUAAAUGUGGCCAACUGCUUCACUGUGCCACAUUUACAAAUUGUUAAUAAUCAUGUCAGAGGGGUUCAGUGUUGUAACUUCAAUAUCUAUCUAGGGUUAAUAUCAGAAACCUCUCUUGAGGUUUCUUCUAAUCACACCUAGAACCCCUCAUGUUUUCGAAAUCACACUUAGCACCCCUGAAAUGACAACUUUGGUAUCAUUGUCAGCCCCUCAUUAUUUUUGUUCCACUUUUACCCUCCUUGUGAACUCUAUUUAUAUAACUCACAUCCCUCCAACUUUUGUAACACUACAAAAUCGUCCUUGAGCAGCGUAACAUGUUUUGAACAUUUUGUAAUUUUAUGUAAGCUUCUUGUACAUCUUUAUAAUAGAUUGCGUUUCUGUUAUUAAGUUUUACAAAUAAUUCACAUAAAGUUACACAUUGUUUAAAAAAUGUUACAUUGAUCUGAACGGAGAUUAAAAAAAUGUGACUAUGGAUUCUCAUAAUGGCAGCAAUAGUUUCAAUAUAUGGUUGUAGUUGUAAAUAAACUUGCUCUUCCAUUUUUGUGAAAAUGAGGUAGUAUAAAUAGCUUUUUGUGCAUCCUAGUCGAAUGGAGUUUGUAAAUUAUUAAUAUUGCAAUACCCUAUUAUCAAGUAAAAAUGGAUUGCUAAUGCUAUAUACUCAUGAAUUCCCAUCAUCUUUAAACUACUUCUAGAUUAUGUUAUUAUUCACUUAGAAAUUGCAAUUUUGGCAAUGGCACUAUGUCCAUUGCCAAAAGUCAACAUCACUGGAAACUCCAUAGCUAUUUAAUAUUAGGGAGUGGGAUAGGAACAAUUGUUAGAUCAACCAUCCCUAAAUCGUGUAACAUUUUUUGAACAUUUUGUAAUUUUAUGUAAAUUUCUUGUACAUCAUUACAAUAAAAGUGUGAUAAGUUGUUAGUGUAUAUAUGAGUCCAAUAUGUAAUAAUCGUAUUUGUGUUGAUAAGUUUUACAAAUAGUUCAAUUAGAAUUACACUUUGUACAAAAAAUAUUACAUAAUUACAUAAUAGUUUUACAUAAUUUAGGGAAAACCUCAAGGGAGGUUUCCGAAAUUAACUCUACAUAAAUAGAGUUCACAAGGAGAGUAAAAGUGGAACAAAAAUAAUGAGGGGCUGACAAUGAUACCAAAGUUGUCAUUUCAGGGGUGCUAAGUGUGAUUUUGAAAAUAUGAGGGGUUCUAGGUGUGAUUAGAAGAAACCUCAAGGGAGGUUUCUGAUAUUAACCCUAUCUAUCUAACUAUAUAAAAGCGGGAGUUGGAUAAUGAACGGUCAUUUUUUUGUCAAGCGGUUAUAACGUAAUUUUCAGCAACUUUGAGGGCAAAUUUGUUGGCUUCCAUUCUCCGCCCACCGUGCAAAUGAGCUUCCCCUUUGCCUUGACGUCAUGUGCAACAAUCCCUAUUCCUUCCUCAUCCUCACUAUCAUCAGAUGGAACGCAAAUAAACCUUCCUAUUUUACAGCUUCAUGUACAAAUUCAUCAUCCUCUGAAUCGAUCAACGCCACGUUAAGAUCAAAGCCACGCAAUUCAUCAGUGCAAGAACUUAUUAAUCCUUUGCAAAUUCAGUCCAAAUAAUUAAAAUAUUAUUUUUGAGAGUAAAAUUAAAAUUUUGUAUCAGAUUUGACCUUUGUGCUACAUGUCCAAUGAAUGACAAAAUACUACAAAUUAAUUAAAAAUUAAUAAACUUUAAGGGGUAUAGUUUAUGGACAAAUAUACAUUACCUAUUUAAAGUAUCGGCUCUUUAUGGGUAUUUUACUGUCAAACAUUUAAUUUAUGAUAAAUAUAUCAAUGUUUGUAAGUAAAAUUUAAAAAGUGCUACAGUAACAUUCUUACAAAAAGAAAAUCGGCAAUAAUACAUGACUCUUAAUGUGGAUUAAUGAUCUAAUAUUAGUGAGCGGCAUUUUACAAAAAUAUAAAAGAAAAAUAAUUGUUGUGAUUGUAUUGAUUAAAUAUUUUAAUUUGUGCAAAAAAAAGAAAAUAGGCUCAUAUUUAUGGAACUUAGUGAGUAAUAGAAAUAUACAUAAAUAUAGAUGGGUAUCUUUAUAAUUACCUCACCCAGACCACAUAAUUUAUACAAAUCAUACCACACAAAAUGUCGACACUGCAUUGUCUCAAUUAUAGUACUUUAUUAACCAUUAUAUUACAAAAUAUCCUCCAUACUAUACAAACUAUUAACACUAUAUUCACCCAACUAAUUUAACACACUAUUAUUUUAUAAUUUAAGUCAGACUUAUAACAAUUAUAUGAUUCUCUACAUUAUAAGAAAUAUAUAACGGCAAAAAAUUAAGCAACUUAAUACGGGAAAUAUUAGCACUCCUACGCAACGCACAGCCUGUCUCACUAGUCUAAUCUAACUAUAUAAAAGCGGGAGUUGGAAAAUGAACAGUCCAUUUUUUGUCAAGCCGUUAUCACGUAAUUUUGGGCAACUUUGAGGGCAAUUGUCAAGCGGAAUUUUGGUCUUUUGUCAUGUGGCUGGCUCUGGCUUUAGGAAGAUUCCGUUAAGCAUCAGAAUUGCCGAUGCUAUUUCAUUGAUUCUCUUUUGCUGGAAAAAGACAACAAUUAUUAAGAUGCCUCUUGGCAUUAUAUUUCAAUAAAAAAAGGUCUGGCUCUGGCUGAGGCUUGUUAGCUGUAUUAUUGUGCUAUGUGGGCUACAGGGGCUAGGACUCACAAAAGAGAGCUGUACCUGUACGUUCUCUAUUGCAAGUAAUACUACAGGCCUUGUUUUAGAGCUCUGCCAUAUGCCCUUUUAUCUUCUCCAAUAUCAACCCACCCCGGCCCGCCUCACCAAGAAAACCAGAAAAAAAGAAAAAAAAAGAAGAAAAUCUCUCCCAGGCUCUCCAAUAUAUAUAUAUAUAUAUAUAUAUAUAUAUAUCUGCAGAGGCCUGUUCUGGGCCCGACCACGUGGCAGCCCAGCUAUGGCUGAGCUGGGCCUCGGCCUUCGGCCCUUUGACAGUCGCCCUGGGUCGCCAUACCACUAGGGUUUCAGAGGAGCCAGGGGGCCGUCCCGGGAGGAUCGGAGGAGAUCCCCCAUAGGUCGGGGGUUGGGAGCUAUACUGGGCAAGUCCCGCACCGUGCGGAGGUCGGACUCUCUCGACAGAUAUAAAUAGUAACUUUCACCACUCUAACAAGGUACGCAAAAUAACACGCAGUAUACCCUCUGACUAAGUUACUUCCCGUAAACCCUACUCAUCGGAAAACUAACUUGACCGUCGGAGUGCCCUCGGGGACCACCUCAGGGCCCCCUCGUAAGAUCACCCUCGUUUGUCUUUGCAGGCUUAGGACGAGCUCUCACCAUCAGCACGCCGAGCUCAUCAGGUCAGCUCGGCCCGGGGAAAUUCAGUGCUUUUCAGUUGGCGCCGUCUGUGGGAACACGUAAGGUAAUUAAGAUCGUGCUGAUGGCCAGAACGCGAUCCAAGCGAACGGUAGAGGGCACCGGCUCUGGAGGCGGUGAGGGAUCCCAGCGAAUGGAGGCGGAGGCUACUCGGGGCGCCGGGGGCUCAGCCCUUUCAGGGGAGAGGAGGCAGCAGAUUUUUCAGUUCGUGACGGAGAACCUCCCUAUGCUGGAAGACAUCAUCCGGCAGGCGAAGGAGGGGGGCGAAGCCGGGGCCGCGCAAACUUCCAAGGCCAAGGGGAAGGAGAAGGAGUCACCCCCUGACCCUUCAGAGGAGGAGUCACGAGACCAGCCCCCCAGGAGGAAACGGCACCGGACUCCACCUCGCCCACGGGCCUCGGUGGUCAGAGAUAGUGAGAGAUACUCUCGGGAUUGGACUGCGGGAAGCCGUCCGAGAGACCUUUCCCCCCGCAAACCUACGCGGAACGGGUUGGAGCGUUCUCCAGCUCGGUCUGUCAGGAGCCGACCACGCGAUCCCCUUCAACUGAAGCCUGUCCAGGACGAGCUCGAGCAGAUCUUGCAGCCGCAGUUGUACGCGGACAACUACUCCACCUCGCCCUUUCCCCGGGAGAUAGAGGAUUACCCCCUACCCCGGAGGUUCAAGAUCCCUAGUAUUGAGAUGUAUGAUGCUUCCACUGACCCGGAAGACCACCUCUCGGUCUUCCUGACACACAUGCGUCUGCAAACCGCUGUGGACGAGAUCCGUUGCAAGACUUUCCCUAUGUUCCUGAAGGGGAAAGCUCGGCUCUGGUUCCAGGGCUUGGCAUCAGGGUUUAUCCGGAGUUUCUCCGAUCUGACUAGGCAGUUCGUCGCACAGUUCGUCUCCUCGAAGACCUAUGCGAAGAAUGCCACCCACCUGAUGUCUAUCAGGCAGAAGCCCGACGAGUCGCUGAGAAACUUCAUGACCCGCUUUAAUGCGAAAAGCUUGCAGGUAAGGGACAAAGAUGAAAAAGUGGUAAUGGCCGCCUUCACGAACGGGUUUAGGGUAGAGGAGCUCUUCUACGAGUUGGCCAAGAAGCCCCCCGUAAACCUGGAAGAGCUCCUAACCCAGGCACACGCGGCCACUAACGCGGAGGAGGCAGGUCGCCUGAAAAAGGAAUCAGAUCGGGAGUUCGGAAAUCGGAAGGGUCGGACAAACCCCCAAGAGGGCAAGGACGUCCCGGCCAAGAAAAACGUCUUUGAUCGGCUCUCGAAGGAGAAGGCCCCUGCUCCGCCGCCACUCCCAGAGAAGACCUACACCCCUCUGACACGGCUUAGAUCCCAGAUCUUGGCUGUUAUGGAGGCGGAAGGGCUGGGAGAUCAGCCGUCCAAGAUGGGGACGCCCCGGAACAAAAGGAACCAGGACCGGUACUGCGCCUUUCACCGUGACGUCGAACACGACACGGAGGGGUGCUGGGCCCUGCGUAAGGAAAUCGAGGACCUGAUCCAGCGCGGCUUUUUAGGGCGAUUCGUACGCCGACCAGGUCAUGAGCCCGGGCACAACCACUACGGAGAUAGGCACGAGGGACCGCGUCGCGACUACCCAGAGCGGCGUGACGCUCCUCGGAACCACUCCCCCUACCUGGACGACCAGAACCUAGCAGGGGUGAUAAACACCAUCGCUGGGGGCCCCACGGGCGGAGACAGUCACACAACUCGGAAAAACAGGCGACCUCCACCAGAGGGGAAUGACUCCCUCAAACGCUUGCGUAUUGACGAGGAGAUCACCUUCGGGCCUAGGAACGCGGUUCCCCUAGCCUCCGGGAACCACGAGGCCAUUGUGAUAGACGUUGUAACCAACAACUAUCGGGUGAAGAAGGUAUACGUCGACCAGGGGAGUGCGGUUGACAUCAUGUUCUACCGAGUGUUCAAAGAGCUCGGCUUGAAGGAUGACCAGUUGAUGCCAGUUCGGACACCCUUGGUGGGCUUCACGGGCCCACCCGUCAACCCGGCUGGAAUGGUCACUCUGAUGGUCACGGUAAGGCAGGCUCCCAAGUGCCGGACCAUCCCCGUCAACUUCGUUGUGGUCAAAUAGCCAUCCCCGUACAAUGUGUUCCUUGGAAGGCCUGCUCUGAAUGCCCUCCGGGCUAUUCCCUCUACUCUCCACCUCAGCGUUAAAUUCCCCACGCCGGGAGGGAUAGCCGAGAUGCACGGGGAUCCGGACGUGGCCAGAGCUUGCUACCUGGCCGUACUGCGGGAACAGGAGAAGGUGGUGGCCCAGACGACCUGCUUGGAACCCUACAUCCCAGGGGACGAGGCUCGGCAGCUAAGCACUCCGAACGAGAUCGAGGAGUUCCCCCUGAGGGAGGACCGGCCCGACCAGGUCCUCCGCAUCGGGGCACGGUUACCCACCGAGGAGAAGAAAGGUUUGAAGGCCCUGUUGAGAGAGUACUCCCAGGUCUUUGCGUAGUCGGUUGAGGACAUGCCUGGAAUUCCAACCGACCUAGCCGUCCACCACCUCAACGUAGACCCUCGCUUCAAACCAGUAAAGCAGAAGAAGAGAAACUUUACCCCCGAAAGGAACGAAGUGAUCAAGGUUGAGGUCGGUAAAUUGCUGGAGUCGAAGAUCAUCCUUGAGAUCUACUACCAGACCUGGUUGGCCAAUCCCGUGUUGGUCAAAAAGGAGGAUUAGACCUGGAGAAUGUGCGUAGACUUUACGGACCUCAACAAAGCCUAUCCAAAGGACUGCUUUCCUUUGCCACGAAUUGACAGGUUAGUAGACUCUACUGUGGGUUUUGACGUUCUGUGUUUUUUGGAUGCCUUUAAGGGGUACCAUCAGAUCGAGAUGGCCGAGGAAGACCGGGAGAAGACCUCCUUCGUUACCGAAGAGGGAACCUACUGCUACCGGACCAUGCCGUUCGGCCUAAAGAAUGCUGGGGCUACCUACCAGCGCCUGGUCAACAAACUGUUUCAGAAUCAGAUCGGCAGGAGCAUGGAGGUCUACGUGGAUGACAUGAUCGUCAAGAGCCGAACCGAUCCACAGCUCAUCCCCGACCUGAGGGAGGUCCUGAAUAUCCUACGGGAGAGCAGGAUGCGGUUGAACCCAAAGAAAUGCACCUUUGGGGUCAGGUCGGGGAGAUUCCUGGGGUUCCUGGUGUCCCGCGAAGGGAUCCGGGCCAAUCCGGACAAACUCCAGGCCAUAAUGGACAUGGCCCCUCCGAGGAAUGUGAAGGAGGUGCAGCGGCUCGUUGGGAGGAUGGCUGCCCUAAACAGGUUCCUCUCACAUUCCGCGGUCCGGGGGCUCCCCUUUUUUUCGAAUCCUGAAAGAACUAAAAGAUUUCCAAUGGACGGAGGAAUGCCAGAAGGCCUUCGCCGAGCUAAAAGCGUACCUGACCGAGCUACCCACUUUGACCGCCCCGGACCAGGGGGAGACUCUGUUCCUUUAUCUGUCCGCCUGCAACGAGGCCGUCAGCGCGGUCUUGGUGCGGGAGGACAGGGGGGCUCAGAGACCGGUGUACUACGUUAGUCGCGCUCUACAAGGGCCAGAGACGAGGUACACACCGGCGGAAAAGUUGAUCCUCGCCUUGGUGCACGCUGCUCGCAAGCUCCGCCCCUACUUCCAGGCUCACAGCAUUGUAGUCCUGACCGACCAGCCCCUGCAUCAGAUACUCACCAAGCCAGAGGUCUCGGGCAGGAUGACCAAGUGGGCCGUCAAGCUGACCGAGCACGAUCUUAGUUAUCAGCCUCGCACCGCGAUCAAGGUUCAAGCCUUGGCGGACUUCCUUGCUGAGGGGGCUAGCUUGACCCUGACCGAGUUAGUCCCAACACCCACGGACGCCCCGACAGAGGACCCGUGGGUGCUGUUCGUGGACGGCGCCUCGAGCAAGGAAGGGAGCGGAGCUGGCCUGCUGCUCACCUCACCCAUCGGAGAAGAGCUGACCUAUGCGCUUAGGUUCGAUUUCCCGGCAUCCAACAACGAGGCGGAGUACGAGGCCCUAUUGACGGGGUUACGGAUAGCCCACCAGAUGAGCAUCACCACGAUCAGAGUUCGGAGCGACUCUCAGCUCGUCGUCCUCCAGGUCCGCGGGGAGUACGAAGCCAAGGACGAGAUUAUGAAGAAAUACCUGGCUAAGGUCCGAGAGGCAGUGGCCUCGUUCGGAACCUUUGAAAUCGAGCGGGUGCCGAGGUCCCAGAACAAGCGUGCAGACGCCCUUUCGAAGCUGGCGUCCUCCUCAUUUGCCCAUCUGAGCAAGCAAGUCUUGGUAGAGGUGGUGAAGCAGAAAAGUAUCGACCAGAUCCAGGUCCUGGCUAUAGACAGCUCGGCCACCUGGAUGACUCCCCUCGUUAACUUCCUCAGCUCGGGUGCCCUCCCUGAGAACAAAAUCGAGGCUCGCCGAGUCCAGCUCAGAGCUGCCAAAUACGCCUACGUUAGGGGAACCCUCUACAGGAGGUCGUACUUAUCCCCCUGGCUAAAAUGCGUGACUCCCGAGGAAGGUGAUCACGUUCUGCGCGAAAUCCAUGAGGGUAUAUGCGCGGCGCAUGUGGGGUCCCGGGUGUUGGCCAAAAAGUGCCUCCUCUUGGGCUACUAAUGGCCCUCCGUGUUCCGAGAUGCCGCAGAUCUGGUGUAGAAAUGCCGAGCUUGCCAGGUGCACGCCUCGCUGCGCCAUCAGCCAACUCGGGAGAUGAUCCCCAUCCACAAUCCAUGGCCCUUCGCUCAAUGGGGGAUAGACCUCCUGGGUCCCUUCCCCCGAGCCCCGGGGAGAUAUGAGCACCUCGUGGUAGCCAUAGACUAUUUCACAAAGUGGGUAGAAGCGGAGCCCCUGGUCUCCAUCUCCGGAAGGGCAAUUCAGAAGUUCUUCUGAAGGAGCAUAGUCUGCCGCUUUGGGAUUUCGCAUGUCUUGGUAUCCGACAACGGCCGUCAGUUCGCCGAAAACCCCUUCAAGAGCUGGUGCGUCGAGCUCGGUAUCAACCAGCACUUCACGUCGGUUGGCCACCCACAGGCCAACGGCCAGGUGGAAAAUGUCAACCGCAUUGUUCUGCAAGGGCUUAAAACGAGGUUGGAGCUAGCCGAGUCAAGUUGGCUGGAGGAACUUCCUAAUGUCCUUUGGGCCUACCGCACCACGCCAAGGAUGGCUACUCACGAGACCCCGUUCUCCUUGACGUAUGGGGCUGAGGCAGUGGUCCCCGCGGAGAUCGGCUUCCCAUCCCCUCGGACCCAAAACUUCGUUGCGACAGCCAACGAAGAAGAGCUGAGGUGCAACCUGGACAUGCUGGAGGCCAAGCGAGAGGAGGCGGCAAUACGGAUGGCUAAGUACAAAAGCCAGCUCGCCCGCUAUCACAACGCUAAGGUCAGAAGCGUGCAGUACCGGCCUGGGGACCUUGUCCUAAGGAAAAACUUGGUCAGCCGAGCACGCACCUCCACUAAGCUCGACCCAAAUUGGGAGGGACCGUACAAAGUCCUUGAGGCAAGCCGAGCUGGUUACUGCAAGCUCGCGAAGCUAGAUGGAACGGAGGUGCCCCGCACUUGGCACUUCUUGAAUUUGCGGUUCUUCGUAUAGUAGAUUAGGCCAAGAUGUUUAGCAUUCGGGGUGUAAGUUUCAGUUUCAUCAUUGAAUAAAAUGUAAAACUUUCCAAUUUUCAAUUCAUUACUUGGCUGUUAAGUUCAUGUUUUACACUAGCACACUCAGCGCUCCUUCACUAAGUGCCCUAGUGAGGGCUGGGGAUAAGGCAUGAAGUAGUGAUGAUGUGUUCGACCCAGGAGGUCGGCACGUUUGGGGUUGGGGGAGUUCGACGCACUGCCCUGAACGCAUGGUAUGCUCGACCCCAAGAUGCCGGCAUGUUUAAACCUUGGAAGUUCGAUACUCGACCCAAGAGGUCGGCAGGAAUACCCUUAAGGUUUGGUGCUCAGCCCCGAGAGGCUGGCACAUUCCCUUGAUGGAUCUUUUCGGCAGGACUGCCCUGGAAGGUGUUCGAAUCUGAGUUUGGAGGUUCAACGUUCGACCCAAGAGGUCGGUCCAAAGGUUAAGGUCUGUUGCUCGGCCCCAAGAGGUCGGCACGCCUGGACCAAGGUUGUUCAAAGUAGUGAUGAUCGGCCCCCAAGAGGUCGGCAGGAAUACCCUUAAGAUUUGGUGUUCAGCCCCAAGAGGCUGACACAUUCCCUUAAUGGAUAUAUUCAGUGCUCGGCCCGAGAGGUCGGCACACGGUUUCAAUAGUUUGGUUGCCUUGGGCAAUUUAGCUAUUCGACUAAAAAGGGGACAUAUUCGAUGCACGACCCAGGAGGUCGGCGAAUGGCAGUGGUUGCUAGAGUUGGGCGCAGGCGAGAAUUGCAAGGGAAUUUCCUUCAAUUUAUAUACGCAUUCAGAGCCUAUCUAUUACAAAGCUUCCCUGCCGCCUAUCUGCUACAAAGCCUAUAUAUUACAAAGUGUCCAAGUCGCCUAUCCGUUAUAAAGCCUACCGAGCCACAAAAGGAGGACAGCUCGGACCUUCUCCUUCUUGCAAGCAGCCUGCUGGGGGGCUGAAGGUACACCUUAAACAUGCUGAGAGGCGUAUGGUGAAGGCCACGCGGGAACCCAGGAGUGAAAGGGGCCUUUCCAUCUCAGAUGGACCUUCACGAGCAUUUUCAACUGGAGCAUGAUCACAUCCUUAUAAGAAGACGGAAAGGGUUCCUGGGGUGGUCGCCCCUAGACCACCGGCUCCUUCCCUGAAGUCCUGCCGGGAGCCUCGUCCUCCUCCAAGGGGACCUCCGCCAGCUCGGCUCCGACGUCGGCUCGGCCUACCAGGUCCUUUAGGGCGUGCCCCUUGCGGUACCCGUCAAAGAGCCAGUCCAGCCUAUCCUCGGCCGCGGGGUUGUAGUCCUUGAAGUCCGCCAAGUUGAAGCCGGGAAGGUUGAGACUCUUCACCUGGUCCAGGGCCCGCGUAGAGCCGACCUGGAGGAUGGACUGGUUGAGGAGGGCGAUGUCCACUUUGAACUGAUCGGAAGAAAUGAACUCCCGAACAGCCUUCUUCCGCUCCCGGCUUACGGUGCCGGAGAGCUCGACGGCGUGGUCCUCCCUCAACUUGGCCACGCCCGCCCUCUCUUGGUCGAGCUCCGAUCUAGUGGAGACGAGCUGUACCCGAGCUGUGUCCAGCUCCUUCUCGGCCUUACCCAAUUUGGCCUUAAGGGAGUCCGUCUCCUUACGGGCCUGGGUAAGCCUCUUUUCCGUCUCCAGGUUCUUCUUCCGCAGCUUCUCCAAGUCGGGAGACAGCUCGGAGAAGCGAGUCGCCAGGGCAGCCCCAUCGGCGUUGGCCUGAGGAGGAGGGAAAACAGGUCAGCACGCUGCGGUACCUAAUCGAAAACAGAGAUGCAAAACUGACCCAUGGGUUAGAAGACUUACUUGAGCCUAAGCGGUGUAAUACGUGUCCAGGAGCUCGGAAGGGUCAGCCAGCUCCAUCCACCUCUUGUCGCGUGGGAGGACCGAGCCCACCAUCAGCUCGCGAGCCACCUCGGGAAAUUGGGCUCGGUCGUUGAUGGAGAGCUCCCAGGGCGGACAGAAGAGGCGGGGGUCAUGCACGGUGGGGGCCUGGCCCGGCUUCAAGGGAGCUAUGUGGCGGAAGUGCCACAAGCUCAGGGGAGGCGUCUCCUGCGCAUGCUUCUCGGCAGAGCCUACGCCCAGAUGGACUGGCCCCCCCGAGGCCAGCGUGAGCGGGGAGGGCUAAGCUGGAACCAACGCGAGUUUUUUCCCGGGCUGGGAGGGCUCGUCCCCUCUGCCCCUCUUCUGCCCGGCCGCCUUCUUCUUGUUGGCGGCCUGCUUGGAGGGGGACGGCUGCGACGCCUCUUUGUGGGGGGCUGAGCCACCCUCCGGGGUGGAAGCCCCUCUUGGGGCCCCCUGAGCAGUCUCGGGUUGGGGGGCGGAGGUGAUCUCCUCAAUAGGUGCGCCCAGCAGUUUGGAGAGCUUUCUCACUGCAACGAACACAACCAGAUAAGCAAAAGGCAGGGCAGUUUAAAAAAAAACCACAAUAUACUAUAAAUGCAACAGGGGCAAAGCCAGCGUUACAGGUGUCGAGUUUGGGCUCGGGGGUCACCACUUCCCCAGAGGAUCUGGACAACGUCCCUAUCAGCCCGGCUACGGAGAUCUGCUCAGUGGAGAACUUGGUGGCAUCGAGCUUCACCUUGGAGCCCAACAGCUGGCUGAGGGUAUAGUAGUCCAGGUCCUCCGGGUAGGAGUCGACCUUGACCCCCCCAACCUUCCACACAUUGGGGGGAAAAUGUGUGGAUUUGACGAAGAAAAAGUCCUCCUUCCAAUUCUUCACGAAGGAGGGGAGUCCGUGGAACAACUCCUGGGCACCCUUCCCUCCCUUGGUUUGGGGACCACGGCGGGAGAAGUAGUACCAUCCAGGGAGGGCGGUCUUAAGGAUGAAGGCGGCUCGGAAGAGGGAGAGAGAGUAAGGGAUAUCGCAGAAAAGGCAGUAGAUCAGGAAUCCAGUGAUGAUCCUGAUAGAGGUGGGGUGAAACUGGGUGAUUCUGAGCCCCCAGUAAUUCAGAAUCUCGGUAAGAGCUGAAGAGAUGGGGAAACGGAGCCCUGCGAUGAGCUGCUCCCUAUAGAUGGCUACGAAACCGGAGGGAGGUCUGCAGGCUCGGUCGUCGGACGGAGGAAUGGAGUGAGACUUGGCCAGCUCGACCACGGCCUUGGGGGAUAGGGUAGCCUCCUACAGGUCUGCGUAACCAUAGGAGAACUCGGGAUCAUCCCCCUGCUCAGAAACAGGGGUCCCCUCAGAGAGAUCCCUAUCCUCCCCAGCUCCCCAGCCGGGGGAGUCUCAAUAGGUGAUAAAGAAUAAAAGAAAAUAGUGGAGUCCAACGUAACAUUUGAAUCUAAUCCAAUGGAGAUGUUUUCACAAUUUUCAAAUAUGUGUACUUCGCUUGGAUUUUAGCUAUUGGUUGUAGCCAUUCUUUGGUUCGUGUGGUGUAUGUCCAUAGGCACAAAAAAUUUAAAUUUCCAUGCGUUAAUAGGCUCUAAAUGCUGGGCGGAUUUUGUUAGAGCAUUAAAAACUACACACACGGCGAGAUACCUCUGCUGAAAGUGUAGCUGUCAAACAAACCCAUGUAACUGAUUUAUCCAUAUUUGUCCAUGAAUAGAUGAGUAUGGGUAUUUUAAAUUUUUGUAUAUGGGUAUAAAUGGGUUACCCAAUAAUACUCAUUUAUUAAAUAAAUAUUAUUGGGUAACCCAUCAAAUCCAAUUAACCUAUUUAGGAUUGUUUUCCUCCAAAUCUCCUCUCUUCCCCUACCCAUUUUUUUUUUCAAAAUUUUUAUUUUGUCAUGAUAUUAACUACUUUUGUCUCAUUAUUAUUAUUAUUGUCGGUUUUAUCUUAUCAUUUUAUUUUCUCUUAGUUUGUUAACUUGCUCAUUUUUCAGCAUUACCAAUUUAUGACAAGUUUUAGCCUUUUUUCUUGCUUUUCCAAAAUGAAAUUUUAAAUUUACAUACAAAAAAAUGAUAGAGGUUCAAAAUUUUUUGAUUAAGCUUUUAUGUUAACUUUCAUAGUACUUAGUUCAGAUUUUUAUAUUAUCAUUGUUUAAUUAUUAAAUAGUAUGUAAUUUUGCGACAUAGAGUACGGAUGGAAAAUAAAUUGACAAUUAGUUUUAUUGAGUAUUAUAAAUAAAUAUUUAAAACUAAUGAUGUGUGCAAAGGAUGGUAUAAAUUGAUAACUUAGUUUGAAAAAAUGAAUUUAAAUGAAUUUACAAAAGUUAAAAUAAAUGGGUAAUUGGGUUAUCCAAUUCAUUUUUUGACUUACCCAUUUAUACCCAUCUAAUUAAAUGGAUAUAUGUGGGUUGACUUAUUUAUACCCAUUACGCAUUUUACCCAACCCAAAUCCGACCAAAUCACCCAUUUUGAUAUCUUUAGUUGAAAGGGAAGAAGUAUGGUUACCUCAAUGGUCGAAAGUGUGGUUUAGGAAAGGGAUAAUUUCAGAAAUCUCCUUGAGGUUUCUAAUAAUUUCACUGGCCUCCAUUGAGAUUUAUAAAAUUACACUUACCUCCCUUGGUAGAAUUGUGGGCCCAAUUACUUACACCAUAUUGGGGAAAAUUACUCAUAUACCCUAAAACAUUAUGUCUUAUAGAAACUAAUAUCUAACGAUUGAGUAAUUAGAGCACUAAUUAACUAUUAAUAACUAAUUAACAGAAAUAACUGUUGAGAAUUUCUUUAAUGAUGAAUAGUGAUUUGCAAUUAUAAAAUAAGGCCAAUUGAUAUACCAAAUGACACAAUUUUAUGAUUGAUAGAACUUGAUAAUGAUCAGAAACCAGUUGUACACAAUAUGAGAAGAAGAACUCUGAUACAAAAAAAACACAAGGCAAAAGAAGAUUGUUCAUGAGAAAAUUUCUUUGAAACUUUUAAAACUGUAAUAGUUGUAAAGCAAUUUUGUGGAAGUAAAGGAGAAAGAAUGGAAAAGAAAGGCAAAAUUCAAAAAAAAUUUAUGUUCAAAAUCACAAGAAUCAUAGCAAAUCUAAUGUUAAGAGCAAUGAUUGGUCUGUUUUACUGAAUCUUAUGAUCAUUAGUUUAGUUUUAUUGUUUAUUUGCAUUGUCUAAUAUAUUGAACAUGAACUUUUUCAGUAAUGAAAUGUGUGUUUUAAUUGUUUCUAAUUUUUAAUUGUUUUCAUUUUUUUACUAAUACAAUUUAUAAACAUAAAUAAGGGGUAGUUAUGGGAUAAAAGUUUCAUCUCUCUCCUUAAAAUACCUUUUUAAUGUCACUUUUUCUGAUUUGGACUAAUUUUGUUACUAAAACAUUAAACUCAGGGGAAGUUUGUGUAAUUUGACAAACCUCAAGGGAGGCUAGUGAAAUUGUUAGAACAUGCUGGGAAUGUUCCUGAAAUUAUCCCUUUAGGAAAAGGAAUCCAAAGUUGCUUCCAAAUUAUAAGUGGUGGCAAAAUGGAAAAUCUUACAAACGGAUAAUAAAUUGAGCAAUGAUUGGGCCUUGGUCCAAUGAUUAGGGAGAGUCUAUUAAAACUCUCUCGUAUACUAGGUCGAGAGGUUUAAACUUUGCCAAAUGCAUUACGAGGAAGUGUAGUGCUUACUUGUUCUUAAAAAACUAGAGGUACUUGAACUGUGCAAAGCACAGUUUGGGCCCCCUAGAAAUUUAGUUGAAUGCAUAGCAUCAAAUUAUUUUGCCACAUGAUGAAUGAAUAGAAAUAUAGGAGAAAAAUUGAGCAUCAAAGCAAUUAAAAUUGACAAAUAUUAUUUGAACUCUCAUUUUUGUUAAUCAUACUUCCGCUAUUAUUUUUAUCAUAUAGCUUUUGUUUAUUAUAGGAAUAGAAUUAAAAAAAUAUGGAGAAUAAAUAAAAUUUCUCUCAAAAUUUGUUGUAAAGAGAAAUCCCAUCUAUGAAUUCAACCUCCCUAUUUAUUGUGAUUUGGAUAAAGAUUUUUGAACCACUAUUAUAUGAUACCCAAAAAGGAGAGAAAAUUAAUACACUAUAAGUGCAUUGAUGUAUUAAUAGUAGUAUAGUUUUAGUUAAAACUAAAUCAAAAGCAGUCAUAAUACUUUUAGUACUUUAAUAAUGAGAAAAAUUUUAGGAAGCUGCUAAAACAUGGCACAAUCUUCAACAUCAAUAUAUCUUACUAUAAACUUUCAUAUUUUUCUUUCAUUUGAUAGAAGAAUCUAGUUCAUCUAUUUAAAUUCCGCCUAAAGGUAAUAACAUUAUCCUGCAGCUCCAGAAUAUAAAUAGUAAGAUUAGAUAAAAAUAUGAAUUGCUAUGUUUCCUGAUCUACAUAUACAAAUUAGAAUUGAACUAUUUUUUAUUGCAAAACCAUCUUCCUAAUCAAAAUUGAAUUUUCUAACAAUUUUUUGUCAAGUCAUAUUCUAGGCUGAAAGCCUCAAUUGUGACUUCCACCACUGACUGUAAUCCUUGUAUACCAACCCAAUUGAUACUACAACACUUGAGUACUUAAAAAACAAACAAAAAUUAACUUUAUUUUAAAUAUAUACAAAAUCUUAUUGGAUCCUUCAAUUAAAUUGAAUAGGCCAUAAAGUAAUUGCAAAAAGAAAGAAAUGGAGAAAAACGGAGGUACAAGAAUGCCUAGCUAGAUUUAUCUUGGUGGAAACAUCACAUGAUAUAUCUUUCUCCUAAAAAAAAUACACAAAAUUGUAGAUAAUUACAAAAUGGAACCAAAAAAACAAAGCAAAGGAAACAAAAUGUGAAGUCAGAAAUCAAAUCAUGGGAGGAGAAAAUAAAAGAAUGAAUUUUUGUUCUAUUAUUCAUAGAAAAUGAUCAUUGGUAUAAAAUGAAUUCUAAGAUAUUUUAAUAAUUCACCUUUUAUCCAUAAAGAACUACCAAAUAAAAACAUCAUCCUAUAAAUUUAACAAACAAAUGCCAGUUGGCUAUAACAUUAUGAUAAAAAAAUAGAGCAAACAUGAGAGAUUAGAGAUGAAGAAAAAAGGAAGAAAAGAAAAUGUAAAAUGGGAUAAAAAUAAUAAAGAAUUCUUUUUGCUAAGUAGCUAUCAUCUUGACAAAAAAAAAAAAAAAAGAACAUGGCAGCAAUCUUAGUUAGAUUAGUUUUAAAAAAUAAAAAAUAAAAAAAGUGUGGGAUGACAUUAGUUACUGCAAGAAGAAAAAGAAGAGAUGGAGUUGAUUUUCUCAAGGAGAAAAAAUAUUUUAAUCCUUUAACACAAUUGGAUCAAAAAUGGGAAGGAAAAAUUUAGGUAAAAUAAUCAAAGGUCCACUUGUCAAAAAUAUAUGCAAUACAUGUGUCAAAAAAAUGGUUAGCUACAGUAACUUGAAUUUCUUUUUAUAUACAAGGUAGAUCUUACUGCACUUGUUUGGUCUGGUAGGCUAGUGUAGAAGUUCCGGUGCUUUUUUAGACUCCCCUUCCCUACAGCAUAGGGUAGUGUAGAAGUUCUGAUGGCUCAUCUUAAUGUAGAAAUAGAGUAAAUGUUCCUGCUAAUGACCAAUAAAAGAAAGAUAAUAAAUUGAGCCAUCUCACAUGAGUCAACUUAGUGUAGUUUAAUUGGCUCAUCUAAGUGAAGUUUAAAAUUUUGAACUCCUAAUUAUCCAAACAUAUCUUAGUGUAUUGUGCGUUUAUCUUAUAUGUAAUGACUACGGUAUCACAGUUACACACGUAUGACAUGUACACCAUAUUUUAAUUUAAAAUUUAAAUUCAGUUUAAUUAUCCACUGCUGCCGUUGUUUGGUGAGAUUGAAAUUCAAUCGCCAAUUCACUGCAGGCAACAAUGCGCAGCCCUAUAACAGUGCAUGUAUAGUUUCAUUUUCAUAAUCUUGGUUGGGGAAUUAAUUCCCUUUUAGUCCUAGUAUGCAAUGCAAUACUGCUGUCUUGACGAUCCGUAUUAGUAUAAAUUUCGUGAGGCCUAGGGAAUAUUUUAGAAUAUUUUAUUUUGGAGUUAUUUUUUGUUUCUUGGGUGGAGGGUAAGGAGGGACUAGAAAAGGAAUUAUGACUAAUUUAAGUUCUUUAUGCUGAUGCAUUUUGGGGCAAGAAUUGCUUUAGAACCCCCAAAUAUCCGGAUUUCGACUCCUUCAAUAAUAACUUUUGAAUCAAUCCCCAUAAGAUGAGAAGCUUAGUCUAAUAAUAAUAAGGGUUGAUAUCAGAAACCUCCCCUGAGGUUUCUUCUAAUCACAUCUAGCACCCCCCAUGUUUUUGAAAUCACACUUAGCACCCCUGGAAUGACAACUUUGGUAUCUUGUCAGCCCCUCUAUUUGAAAAUGGUUGUAAAAAAUGAAUUGUAGGAGAGAGACUUUAUUUUUGUUCCACUUUUACCCAAAGCCCAAAAUGAUUAGUGAAUUUUAGAAGAUAAAAAUAGAAAUAAAUAGGCAUAUGGUAUUAAUUUAGAAGCUGAGGGUGUAAAAGUGUACUAAAAAAAUGUUAUAACUAAUUAUCAGAGAUUUUGGCGAUAUAGAGAUGCAUAACUAAUUAUGGACCUGGGGCCGGAACGGUUGCACUCCAGAAGCUUGUGUGCAUUUUGCACACGGUGUAACAUCAUUUGUACAAGUUGUAACAUUAGAACAACAGCGAGUAAUUAUACUACCUUUAACAGCAGUAAUCGUCCCUGCCCCUUCUCCACUAAUUACAUAGUCCAUGAUACUACAUUGGAUCAGUCUAGUAACGUGAUACGUAAGCCUUAUAUUGCAAUCCAAUUCUGAACAAAAACACCAUCUACAACUAGUUGUUUAGAUGGUGAGGAUUGCAAUGCACAAAACUAUACACAAGUAGUUCUAAGAUUAGUCAAACAGCACCAUAAGUGGCAGGAAAUAUAAAUCAGAUGCACAUUGCACCACUUAUCAAAAAAUUGUCCACAAAAGCUAACAUUGCUUCAGUAUUGCUAGGAGCUAAGAAGACUAGUACCUAAACUACUUCAGAUACCAAAAGCAAGGAUUGCGGGGAACCUUUAGCACUCUCAAAACAUCAUAGAGAAACUGCUGGUAAUAGUGUUAGAGGCCACUAUUGCAGCAGUAUUAAUGCUAACAGAAGUUUCGGCUUGAGAUCCACCAUUUAGAAUAGCUUGAGCAUUUGGUACAAAGGGAAUUAUACCUUGCUUGUUUACAGCAGCAUUGGUUUUCAUUGAAGGCCUUCCUCUCUGCAUCAGAAAAGAACAAAUUUAAACUUUUUUGCAGCAAAACUUUAAAUUACUCCAGUAGUGCACUAGUUCUGAAUUUUGCAGCAGCAAUGUAUGACAUUAUAAUGCUUACUCUCUUAGUAGAAGUGCUUGUGCUAGCCUGCAAAUUAACUUGCACAUUGACAGCUGCAUCUUGUUGGCGCAAACUUGGAUUACUCCCCUGACUUAAAACAACCACUGGCACAUUUCCUUGUACAUGAUCCUAGAUCACAGAAGACAUGAUAAACAAGUUAAUAAUAUGUGCAACAUAUAUACUUUGGUAUAUGAUCAGAUUGAACUUAGUUACCCAAAGCACAGCCCCUGCCAAUCCCGUGUUAGCUAUGCCUCUACCAGGCUUUCCUCUCCUUAGAGCACCCUGCAAUGUAACAACAUCAAAAUUGAGCAUAUAAUUAUCUAACUCCCACAAGUUAGCUAAUAUUUUGUGAUUAUCAGGACAAAUUUGGUCCAUUUUACAUGUAUACAUAGUCAAGUAACUAACACCUAACGUGAUGUAUAUUUUUGUAAACUGAUUGUACCUCAUUAAUCACCCUGUGUAAAGUACUCACAUAUAAGCAAGAACUACUCAUACAAGUAAAAUUACACAUCUACUAUAGGGAGAUGCACAAAUUGAUCAAAGGGCUAAAUAACCAUUCGAAAUUUAUGCGUAUACAUGUACUACCUUUUAUCGAUAUACACAGUCAAGUAACUAACAUCUAACAUAAUGCACAUUUUUGUAAACUGAUUGUAUCUCAUACAUCACCUCUUGUAAAGUACUCAUAAACAAGCAAGGACUACUCAUACAAGCAAAAUUAUACAUCUACUAUAGGGAGAUGCAUAAAUUGAUCAAAGGGCUAAAUAACUAUUCCAAAUUAUGCGUACCAUUACACUACCUUUUAUAGAUAUACAUAAUCAAGUAACUAAGAUCUAACAUAGUGUACAUAUUUGUAAACUGAUUGUACCUCAUAAAUCACCCCGUGUAAGGUGUUUAUAGGCAAAUUAGUAUUAGUCAUAUAGAUAAAAUUACAUACCCAUUACAGCUUGUAAGGAGAUGCACAAGUGGGUCAAAGUACCAAUAACCAUUCCAAAUGUAUGCAUAUCAUUGCACUAUGCAUAUUGUUGCGAUGAUUAAAAGUAGAAACUUCAGUUUCUAAAAGCAUUACCCCGUGAGUAGAACUAGUAUUGGUCCUUGUAGAGGUUCCUGGUUCUCUUUUGCAUGUUCUUUUGUUGUGGCCAAAUAAACCACACUUAGAGCAUUUUAAUGUGGUUGACCUUUGUGUAUGAACUGAUGCAUGUUCUUCAUCAGGUCCUCUUUUUCUGUUUUUCUUUGGUCUUCCUGGUGCCUUCCUACGUAGUGGUGGCAAUAGUGUUUUUGGUGUCACAUUCUCCAUUGAAGGCCAUCUUUUCUCAUGUGGUAUUGGGUGGAUCAUUGAAGAAUAGCACUUCAAGUACAUCUCUAAUGAAAAUGCUUGAUCACAGUAUUUAACCAGGCUUUCCCUUCUAUAAAUAAUUCCUAAUGCAGCAUGCUUGCAAGGAAGCCCAGUCAAUUGAAAUACCCCACAAUCACAUUCCUUUUCCUCCAAUUUCACAAUGUAUGUCCUGUCAACAUCUCCUACUUCAAAUACAUACUCACUGGCCAUCAUUAACUCACAUUUCCUUGAUGCAUUUCCAAUCUCCUUUAACUUCUUCACAACUUUAGGAGUGACAGCAGCUGUCCAUGUUGUGGCUUUUUGAUACCUUUUGUGCAACUUGUUCAUCAUUUUCCUUCGUAAUCCUUCAACAAGUGUAAGUAUACUUUUUCCUCUUAGAUUAUCAACACAUGCAUUAAAGGAUUCUGUGAAGUUGUUGGUCACAUGAUCACACUUGAUAGCAGUCGAGAAAGCAUGCCUAGCCCAAGCAAAUUUUGGAAUCUUCAUUAAGUACUUCCAAGCUUCAAUGUUCAGGUCUUUAAUGCUGUCCAUUGCUUCAUUGUGUCCAACAGAAUCAAAACUCUUUGCUGCUUGCCAGAAAUAUCUCCUAAGCAUUAAUCCUGGAAACUUGAGCUUGAAGUUGUUGUAUAUAUGCCAGCAGCAAUACCUACCAACAGCUGCUGGAACUAUUUCUUCAUAUGCAAGGUUCAAUCCCUACAAAGUUCAUUAACAAUGAAAUCAUUUUAGACAUUGUGCACCACCACAAAAUAGGAAUAUUUUCUUGCAAAGAAAAUAAGUAACUCACCUUCUGCCUAUCACUCAUAAAUGCCAAUGGCAUAUUGUUGGGAAAUGGUCCAAAAUGAUGCUCAAAGAAGUGAAAAAACCAGCUCCAUGUCUCUUUAUUCUCACACUCUACAAUUGCAAAAGCAAGGGGAAACAAGCUGUUGUUCCCAUCUAAAGCAACAGCUGUGAGCAACAUACCACCAAAGGAACCUUUUAGGUGACAUCCAUCAAAUCCUACAAAUGGCCUACAACUAGUAAGGAAGCCGUCUUUUUGUGCCUUGAAGCUGAUAAAGAGUCUCAAGAAUCUAGGUUCAACCAGCAUAUUAGGCCUAUCAAAGUGAAUUUUAACUAUGCUACCAGGAUUGAAUUGCCUCACCAAUAUAGCAUAUUUUGGGAGUUUUGCAUAUGACAGUGCAUGUGAACCUUCAAUCUCAUCCAAUGCUUUGUCUCUGGCCCUAUAUACCCGCAUCCUAUUUGGUUCGACACCAAAUUUCUUCAUCUCAGCUAUUAUACCCUUAGUUGACAUCUCUGGAUGCUCUCUCAAUACAGCAAUCAGUUUCUUUGCCAUCCAAUCAGAUGUUGCUUCAGUAUUUUUCCUGCUCAUGACACAUGUGUGCUCUGGAUUAUAAGUUUUUACCAUGAAUAUAGUUGUGUUAGCAACAGGGGAUGCAUGGAUUCUCCAGUUGCAGCCCUCAGAACCACAUUUGGCAGUGCAUCUAGUCCUUUCAUUUUUUACCCUCACCAAUGGAAAUCCUUUCUCAAUGGCAUAAUCCUUUAAACAUGCCCGGAAAGCAUCAACACUAGUAAAUAACUGUCCUUUCUGAAAUUCUAUUUCUUCUUUAGGGUUAUAUAUCCACACUUUGGACCUCAUCACUUUCUUCAAUGGAUCAGUUUCAUCAUCUGUUUCAGAGUCACGUACAAUUGCAGCAUCUUCAUGUUCCUCAAAAUCAGAAAAGUCCAUGUUAUUGUUGUCGGUAGAUGACAGUGACAAUCUCUCAUCAUCCAACAUGUCAUCUAAGUCCUUCUCCAUUGGUUGUUUCCAAGACUCAUCAGAGCUAGAGUCAUAUAUUUCCCUCUCAUCCUCACUAUUUGCCAAAUUUUGAUGUGCAUUGUUUUGAGGCCCUAAGUUCUCUUGGCUUGCUUCAGGAUUCUGAUCAUCAGGCAUAUUACCCUCUAAUUCUGGGAUUAUGUCCAUGUCAAACACAUGCAAGUUGAUAACAAGAUCAUUUUGAUGGACUUUAAACAUCUCAAGCACUGAUUUGUCAUCAACUAUUUUCAUAAAGGUCUCAGUUUUAGGGAUCAAACAUCUCAUAUGAAGUAGCAAAUUCAGAUUUCCAGGCAUAGCAUUCAAUGCCGUUUCAGAUGCAUCAUUAAGUAGAUCGAUGUACGAGUACUUAUCAGGAUCAAUGUUGGGAAUUCUACUAGCCUUUCCCAAGUAGUGAAUAACAAUGUCAUGAGCAACCAUAGAUGCCAUCCUACAUAUCCCAAUUUAGAAAUUUUUUAGUUCCUACACACUACAAGAUUAAUACAGCACACACAGAAAAAGGCAUGUUCAUGCAUACAUCAGAGCAUUUCUAUCCUUAAAUGCACAAUUAUUGAGCAAUACACAAAAAAGUUUUCAACAUUUCUAGUGCAAUAUCAAACAACCACUUAACAUAGCUAUUGAUCACCAUGAUCAUGCCAUUGGCUGAAGCUAUUUUCUAAGUUUCAUAAAUACUCUAUUGAAACAACCGGACGAGGGGCAUGGACAGUUGUCAGAGACAAUCGUCCCAGACAGUUCACGGUCUGGAUGAGGCCUCAAAAAUUUGUGCGGCUCAGAUCACGUCUUGUAACUAGAUUUUCACGCCGUGUGGAACCCACAAAAAUGUUGUUUUAUUUUACUCGCUGUUAUUCAAUUGUUACACCUUGUACAGAUGAUGUUACACCAUGUACAAAUGGUGUUACACCUUCCGGAGCGGUUGUCAAAACAACCGCUCCAGCCCCGCGUCCCAAACAACCAUCAUAUAUGCUAUGGAACAUAGUAUCAGAUCUCAAUUUUGUCAAUAUCCAUAACAUAAACUUGCUAGCUUAUUCAUAAUAUUAGUCAAAAUCAACGAAUAUCACAUGCUCACAACAAAAGCUGCUCUCUGUGAUAAAAAAACAAUCACUCAUGGCUUCAUUUUGACAAGAUCAAUAACAUCAAGAGUACUAUUUUCAAAUUUAAUAUGCAAGGACAGCCUGUGAAGCUUACCUGUUUUGUUGAAUCCAAAAUUGAAGGUUAAGCUGAAAAUCCACGACUUCAAAUGCACUCGAACUUUUCCUUCCACCAAAAAACGACGCUUUCAACUACAUAGGUUCUAUAUUCCUUCAUCACUGCACUAAUUUGCAACUAAUCAUCAGCAAUCUCUUCCUAAUUCUACCAGCACAUAAGCAAUUUUGAGUUAAAAAAAAAAAGAGUACAACUUACCUUUCAAGUUGUCUUACUUGUGAAAGCCCGUUUUUAUGGUUAUCAUGGUUAUAUAUGCAGAAAAUGGCGCUCAAAUUGUGCGCCAAAACAAUGGCAUUUUUGUUAUUUUCUGGUUUCCAAUAAUUUUUCUUAUUCAUUAUUUUUUUCCAGCAUUUCCCCGCUUAAAAAUUUGCCUGGUGUUGGUGGUUUUUGGGUAAUUUCUCACCUUUUGAUUAGGACAACUUGUCACAUCCUACUGCCAGGGGUGCUAAGUGUGAUUUUAAAAAUAUGGGGGGUGCUAGAUGUGAUUAGAAGAAACCUCAGGGGAGGUUUCUGAUAUUAACCCUAAUAAUAAUAUUGGCGGAAUACAUUAGCCCAUUGGUUGUCCAGCCCAACGGAGUAUCCAACUCAAAUGCCAGUCUAAUUACUUGACUGAGGAUUUUAGAAAUUAGGUUACGACGAGUAGGCAGAAGACGAGUAGGCAGGGUACGACGAAGCCCACGGGGUGGCACAAGGUCGUAUUUAAAGGACGAACCACUGGCAUUACUUAACCAUGCCUUCUGCACUCAAAGGACUGCCCAUUUGUAACCCAUAGAUUAUCCUCCUACUUAACCCAUAAAUUAUUGUUGGGUUGACAUAGAAUAAAAUUGUUAAGUGUUCUAUAAAUGCACAAUUAUUGAGGAAACAAUUAAUAAACUAUUGUUGGCUUUAGUAACUUUAAAAAAUGGGUUUUAUUACUGUGACGUGUGGUGAUUAAUUUUUAGCAAUGUCAAGUUCUAUGGUUCAGGUGUUUAAUUGAUUUUCAAGAUCCCCUAUUUUUUGUGUCAAUAAUGAUUAAUACUCUUUGGGAAUGAUUCACUUUAUAAUUUUCUAAUUAUCCUGAUCUAAAUGCAAAAUAACCUUAUACAAUUUUCUAAUUUAUCCUUAUGCAUUCUAUAUAUUAUUGUUCUCAUGCAUUCUAUAUAUUUCAUAAUAGUUAACUUUUAACAAAAAUUAUAAUUCCCUAAUGAUCCGCAUGAAUUAAAUAAUAACAAAGAUAUAUACUAAUAAACUCAUACAAUAAAAAACAAUUAACACGGGAAAUAUUAGUCUUCCUGCGCAACGCGCAGGCCGUCUCACUAGUACAAUACAAAAUGUAGAGUGUGGAUAGCUACACUAAUGAAAUAAAAAAAAAUUAGAGACAGCAAAAAUAAUUUUGUCACGAUGGAUGGCCACACUAAUGAAAUUAAAAAAAAAUUCAUUCUCACAAGAAAGGAUGAAAAAUGCAGAGUAAUUUGUUCCGAUGAAUUUGAAAAUAUCUGAAUUUAUGUACAUGCGGCACGUGCAUUAUUUUCUUGUUUUGUCCCCGUUACUUCACCAAAUCCAAUGAAAUUGGAAAUGGAUGUUAGGAAAUUCGAUUUAUUUUUCAUCUAGAUUGUGUGGCAAGUAAGUAAUUUCUAACAUUUUCUAUUUAGUAUUUACUUCAAAUAGUCAUUAAGAAAAUUUCUAUAUACAUGGGUUUCGUAAGCAUGUUAAGUCGUUCAAUUUCAUUAGUCGGGCAAUGGUUAAGCAACGCAUUCUAUAAAUAGGUGGGGAGUGGUAACACACAAAAGGAGCCGCGUGGUCUUAUGCAUGAGGUAAAAGAAGUUAGACAAAGGUUAAAUUUGAGGUUCAAGUCGUAUUCUUAUUUGAGGUUCUUCCCUUAUAAUAAAGAAUAGGUGUUCUUUCCCUAGUCAUAAGUUUUAUAAUUGAAUCAAACCAGGUUAAAUAUUUUCUAUCACUCUUAUUUCAUGCGGUGGUUUGGUGUCAUUAAAUGGUUAAGUUCUUGAUUGUUCAAUAAUUAUUUAUUUUGCAUCGUGGAUCCCAACAACAGGCAUCAGAGCAUAGUUGGAUCGGAUUAAAUAUUGAUAUCAAAAGGAUUUGUAACAAUUAUCAAUUUAACAAUUUAAUAGGGUCAACAUCCUUGUUCAAGAAAGUUUGGUAGGGGAAAGGAUUGGAAGCCAACUAACGUCUCAAUAGGUGAUAAAGAAUAAAAGAAAAUAGUGGAGUCCAACGUAACAUUUGAAUCUAAUCCAAUGGAGAUGUUUUCACAAUUUUCAAAUAUGUGUACUUCGCUUGGAUUUUAGCUAUUGGUUGUAGCCAUUCUUUGGUUCGUGUGGUGUAUGUCCAUAGGCACAAAAAAUUUAAAUUUCCAUGCGUUAAUAGGCUCUAAAUGCUGGGCGGAUUUUGUUAGAGCAUUAAAAACUACACACACGGCGAGAUACCUCUGCUGAAAGUGUAGCUGUCAAACAAACCCAUGUAACUGAUUUAUCCAUAUUUGUCCAUGAAUAGAUGAGUAUGGGUAUUUUAAAUUUUUGUAUAUGGGUAUAAAUGGGUUACCCAAUAAUACUCAUUUAUUAAAUAAAUAUUAUUGGGUAACCCAUCAAAUCCAAUUAACCUAUUUAGGAUUGUUUUCCUCCAAAUCUCCUCUCUUCCCCUACCCAUUUUUUUUUUCAAAAUUUUUAUUUUGUCAUGAUAUUAACUACUUUUGUCUCAUUAUUAUUAUUAUUGUCGGUUUUAUCUUAUCAUUUUAUUUUCUCUUAGUUUGUUAACUUGCUCAUUUUUCAGCAUUACCAAUUUAUGACAAGUUUUAGCCUUUUUUCUUGCUUUUCCAAAAUGAAAUUUUAAAUUUACAUACAAAAAAAUGAUAGAGGUUCAAAAUUUUUUGAUUAAGCUUUUAUGUUAACUUUCAUAGUACUUAGUUCAGAUUUUUAUAUUAUCAUUGUUUAAUUAUUAAAUAGUAUGUAAUUUUGCGACAUAGAGUACGGAUGGAAAAUAAAUUGACAAUUAGUUUUAUUGAGUAUUAUAAAUAAAUAUUUAAAACUAAUGAUGUGUGCAAAGGAUGGUAUAAAUUGAUAACUUAGUUUGAAAAAAUGAAUUUAAAUGAAUUUACAAAAGUUAAAAUAAAUGGGUAAUUGGGUUAUCCAAUUCAUUUUUUGACUUACCCAUUUAUACCCAUCUAAUUAAAUGGAUAUAUGUGGGUUGACUUAUUUAUACCCAUUACGCAUUUUACCCAACCCAAAUCCGACCAAAUCACCCAUUUUGAUAUCUUUAGUUGAAAGGGAAGAAGUAUGGUUACCUCAAUGGUCGAAAGUGUGGUUUAGGAAAGGGAUAAUUUCAGAAAUCUCCUUGAGGUUUCUAAUAAUUUCACUGGCCUCCAUUGAGAUUUAUAAAAUUACACUUACCUCCCUUGGUAGAAUUGUGGGCCCAAUUACUUACACCAUAUUGGGGAAAAUUACUCAUAUACCCUAAAACAUUAUGUCUUAUAGAAACUAAUAUCUAACGAUUGAGUAAUUAGAGCACUAAUUAACUAUUAAUAACUAAUUAACAGAAAUAACUGUUGAGAAUUUCUUUAAUGAUGAAUAGUGAUUUGCAAUUAUAAAAUAAGGCCAAUUGAUAUACCAAAUGACACAAUUUUAUGAUUGAUAGAACUUGAUAAUGAUCAGAAACCAGUUGUACACAAUAUGAGAAGAAGAACUCUGAUACAAAAAAAACACAAGGCAAAAGAAGAUUGUUCAUGAGAAAAUUUUCUUUGAAACUUUUAAAACUGUAAUAGUUGUAAAGCAAUUUUGUGGAAGUAAAGGAGAGAGAAUGGAAAAGAAAGGCAAAAUUCAAAAAAAAUUUAUGUUCAAAAUCACAAGAAUCAUAGCAAAUCUAAUGUUAAGAGCAAUGAUUGGUCUGUUUUACUGAAUCUUAUGAUCAUUAGUUUAGUUUUAUUGUUUAUUUGUAUUGUCUAAUAUAUUGAACAUGAACUAUUUCAGUAAUCAAAUGUGUGUUUUAAUUGUUUCUAAUUUUUAAUUGUUUUCAUUUUUUUACUAAUACAAUUUAUAAACAUAAAUAAGGGGUAGUUAUGGGAUAAAAGUUUCAUCUCUCUCCUUAAAAUACCUUUUUAAUGUCACUUUUUCUGAUUUGGACUAAUUUUGUUACUAAAACAUUAAACUCAGGGGAAGUUUGUGUAAUUUGACAAACCUCAAGGGAGGCUAGUGAAAUUGUUAGAACAUGCAGGGAAUGUUUCUGAAAUUUUCCCUUUAGGAAAAGGAAUCCAAAGUUGCUUCCAAAUUAUAAGUGGUGGCAAAAUGGAAAAUCUUACAAACGGAUAAUAAAUUGAGCAAUGAUUGGGCCUUGGUCCAAUGAUUAGGGAGAGGCUAUUAAAACUCUCUCGUAUACUAGGUCGAGAGGUUUAAACUUUGCCAAAUGCAUUACGAGGAAGUGUAGUGCUUACUUGUUCUUAAAAAACUAGAGGUACUUGAACUGUGCAAAGCACAGUUUGGGCCCCCUAGAAAUUUAGUCGAAUGCAUAGCAUCAAAUUAUUUUGCCACAUGAUGAAUGAAUAGAAAUAUAGGAGAAAAAUUGAGCAUCAAAGCAAUUAAAAUUGACAAAUAUUAUUUGAACUCUCAUUUUUGUUAAUCAUACUUCCGCUAUUAUUUUUAUCAUAUAGCUUUUGUUUAUUAUAGGAAUAGAAUUAAAAAAAUAUGGAGAAUAAAUAAAAUUUCUCUCAAAAUUUGUUGUAAAGAGAAAUCCCAUCUAUGAAUUCAACCUCCCUAUUUAUUGUGAUUUGAAUAAAGAUUUUUGAAUCACUAUUAUAUGAUACCCAAAAAGGAGAGAAAAUUAAUACACUAUAAGUGCAUUGAUGCAUUAAUAGUAGUAUAGUUUUAGUUAAAACUAAAUCAAAAGCAGUCAUAAUACUUUUAGUACUUUAAUAAUGAGAAAAAUUUUAGGAAGCUGCUAAAACAUCGCACAAUCUUCAACAUCAAUAUAGCUUACUAUAAACUUUUAUAUUUUUCUUUCAUUUGAUAGAAGAAUCUAGUUCAUCUAUUUAAAUUCCGCCUAAAGGUAAUAACAUUAUCCUGCAGCUCCAGAAUAUAAAUAGUAAGAUUAGAUAAAAAUAUGAAUUGCUAUGUUUCCUGAUCUACAUAUACAAAUUAGAAUUGAACUAUUUUUUAUUGCAAAACCAUCUUCCUAAUCAAAAUUGAAUUUUCUAACAAUUUUUUGUCAAGUCAUAUUCUAGGCUGAAAGCCUCAAUUGUGACUUCCACCACUGACUGUAAUCCUUGUAUACCAACCCAAUUGAUACUACAACACUUGAGUACUUAAAAAACAAACAAAAAUUAACUUUAUUUUAAAUAUAUACAAAAUCUUAUUGGAUCCUUCAAUUAAAUUGAAUAGGCCAUAAAGUAAUUGCAAUAAGAAAGAAAUGGAGAAAAACGGAGGUACAAGAAUGCCUAGCUAGAUUUAUCUUGGUGGAAACAUCACAUGAUAUAUCUUUCUCCUAAAAAAAUACACAAAAUUGUAGAUAAUUACAAAAUGGAACCAAAAAAACAAAGCAAAGGAAACAAAAUGUGAAGUCAGAAAUCAAAUCAUGGGAGGAGAAAAUAAAAGAAUGAAUUUUUGUUCUAUUAUUCAUAGAAAAUGAUCAUUGGUAUAAAAUGAAUUCUAAGAUAUUUUAAUAUUUCACCUUUUAUCCAUAAAGAACUACCAAAUAAAAACAUCAUCCUAUAAAUUUAACAAACAAAUGCCAGUUGGCUAUAACAUUAUGAUAAAAAAAAUAGAGCAAACAUGAGAGAUUAGAGAUGAAGAAAAAAGGAAGAAAAGAAAAUGUAAAAUGGGAUAAAAAUAAUAAAGAAUUCUUUUUGCUAAGUAGCUAUCAUCUUGACAAAAAAAAAAAAAAAAAAAAAAACAUGGCAGCAAUCUUAGUUAGAUUAGUUUUAAAAAAUAAAAAAUAAAAAAAGUGAGGGAUGACAUUAGUUACUGCAAGAAGAAAAAGAAGAGAUGGAGUUGAUUUUCUUAAGGAGAAAAAAUAUUUUAAUCCUUUAACACAAUUGGAUCAAAAAUGGGAAGGAAAAAUUUAGGUAAAAUAAUCAAAGGUCCACUUGUCAAAAAUAUAUGCAUUACAUGUGUCAAAAAGACGGUUAGCUACAGUAACUUGAAUUUCUUUUUAUAUACAAGGUAGAUCUUACUGCACUUGUUUGGUUUGGUAGGCUAGUGUAGAAGUUCCGGUGCUUUUUUAGACUCCCCUUCCCUACAGCAUAGGGUAGUGUAGAAGUUCUGAUGGCUCAUCUUAAUGUAGAAAUAGAGUAAAUGUUCCUGCUAAUGACCAAUAAAAGAAAGAUAAUAAAUUGAGCCAUCUCACAUGAGUCAACUUAGUGUAGUUUAAUUGGCUCAUCUAAGUGAAGUUUAAAAUUUUGAACUCCUAAUUAUCCAAACAUAUCCUAGUGUAUUGUGCGUUCAUCUUAUAUGUAAUGACUACGGUAUCACAGUUACACACGUAUGACAUGUACACCAUAUUUUAAUUUAAAAUUUAAAUUCAGUUUAAUUAUCCACUGCUGCCGUUGUUUGGUGGGAUUGAAAUUCAAUCGCCAAUUCACUGCAGGCAACAAUGCGCAGCCCUAUAACAGUGCAUGUAUAGUUUCAUUUUCAUAAUCUUGGUUGGGGAAUUAAUUCCCUUUUAGUCCUAGUAUGCAAUGCAAUACUGCUGUCUUGACGAUCCGUAUUAGUAUAAAUUUCCUGAGGCCUAGGGAAUAUUUUAUUUUGAAUCAAUCCCCAUAAGAUGAGAAGCUUACUCUAAUAAUAAUAAUAUUGGCGGAAUCCAUUAGCCCAUUGGUUGUCCAGCCCAACGGAGUAUCCAACUCAAAUGCCAGUCUAAUUACUUGACUGAGGAUUUUAGAAAUUAGGUUGUGGAUUGGCAAAAGUUUGUGGCACAAGGUGAGUACAAAUAGGCCGGUUAAAAGACGAGUAGGCAGAAGACGAGUAGGCAGGGUACGACGAAGCCCACGGGGUGGCACAAGGUCGUACUUAAAGGACGAAGCACUGGCAUUACUUAACCAUGCCUUCUGCACUCAAAGGACUGCCCAUUUGUAACCCAUAGAUUAUCCUCCUACUUGGCUCAUUCUUACCCUCGCAUAGCUGAAAGCUAUUUUAUUUUUUUAAAUCCUUCCACUCCUCUCCGUACCAUUCCAAGCUUCAACUGUUAGGUACAGACUUUGAACUGAGCCUGAUAGCGGGAAGCCUGAGGUGAAAGCCUGUUACUCUCCACAAAGCAUACUCCAAUCAUACCACUCACUGCAUUUCCCUUGCGCCAUGUCUAGCUCAUUUUUUGGUUCAACCACGAGCGAGCAAAGAUUGGCUAAUCAGUUCAAUGAACAUUUCACCAUAUACAUUGAAAAUGAUGCCUCCAUCUUUCGUGUACCAAAAAAAGUAUGCGACACAAAGCCAGAAACUUAUGCCCCUCAGCAGAUAGGCCUAGGAGCAUAUCAUCACUUGGGGCCUGAUCUUGAUGAAAUGAACCGCAGAAAGCUUGAGGCUGUCAAGAUAUUUUUGAAGCCGGAACAGUACCGGAAUUUCAAAAGCCUAAUUGUCGACAAGGUCAAAGAGCUUGAGCCCUCAGUACGCGCUUGCUACAGCAAGUACUUGGACAUUGAUGGCGAUACUUUGGCAUGGAUCAUGUCUAUUGAUGGUGUAUAUUUGCUUCAUCGGCUGAGCACCUAUAGAUAUAAAGGAAGUGUUGAUUCGGAGGACAGGAAGUUUGCUCAGGACAUUGCAAUGUUGGAGAAUCAAAUGCCCGUGAUUGUGCUCGAAGAAAUAUUGAAGGCUAUUCAAGCUCCUGUUGAAGGUGAGGUGCAAGGUGCCGAUGAUGAUGAUGAAGCUGGUGAUGGUGAGGAUGAAGAAGAAGAUGACGUUGAGGAAGAGGAUGAAAGUGAGAACGAGGAAGAAAACAAGGAAAAAAAAUUAAAUCGAUUGUUUUUGUCAUUCUGUAAAGCACACACUCCCCUUGGCCUAACUGAUAAAGCAGGAAUUCUUGGCGAUACCUCUAAUCCUCAUCUUCUGAGUUAUAUGUAUAAUUUGAUUGUGAAAAAUUGGUCUCUUGGAGAUCAGUCUCCCGAAGUUCGUAUUCUUUUAGGUUCGGCUCGACUAGGUUCGGCACUAGUCGAGGGAGCUGGUAAAGCUACACAGGCUGCAAGCGUUGCAGCUGAUUUGACGGGGCAGAAACCUCUGCAACUGUUAGCUAGUUUGCCACUGCAGCAGCUUGCUGCUCUUUUCAAAGAAGAUUCAGAAAAAGGAAACUCUUCAAUUGAAGAGAUCCAUAUCCCAUCAGCUUCCCAACUUGAUGCAAGUUCCAAAGUACAAUUUGAAGUCUGGCGUGAAGAUUCAGGCGUCAAAAUCAUGGAGCUUGAGAAUCGGGUAAUGUGCCUCCCCGUAAUUACUUUGAACACUGAUUCAGAAGUGAUAUUACGAAACCUGGUGGCUUAUGAAGUUGCCUCAGCUUCUCCUGGAUCUACCUUUAUACUUGGCGGAUACGUGGAUUUCAUUUGCGGCAUUAUUGAUACUGCAAAAGAUGUAGAUUUGCUCAAGGAAAAAGGAAUCAUAGAAAGCAAUCUCCUGAGUGAAGAAAUCGCAGAAAUCUUCAAUGGGAUAAGCAAAUGUAGCAGUCAGCGUGCCCUUCCUCAAUUAGAAGAGGCUACUCAGGAGUUGAAUAGGAUUUAUGACAGCACUUUCACAGUCAGAACUUGGAGAUUCAUAAGAGAUAAUUUGAUUCCAUCUGUCAAACUCUUGUUUGCGAUAUUGGUGCUUUUGCUGCUCACACUACAAUCAGUUUGCCAGGUUUAUGGCUGCAGUGCUCGUUGGCUUGGCAGGAUCAGUUCUAUAUGAUCAUUAUGGUUUUACAGAAAGUUCUUGUUUGCCUUCGGGUUUUGAUCUUAAAAUUAGAAUUUCGUGUUUGUCAAUUUGUGGAGGUGUUAAUUAUUGUUCUUUUGACUACAACCUAAUGAUAAGAGUACUAGUUUGGCAAAGACUUCUUUCUUUUUCUGUUUUUCAACGCAAAUAUAUUUUUUUUAUGCAUCAAACUAUAUAUCUCUUACAGUAUUAAUGAAGCAAAAUAGCAUACACAAGCACAAAUUUUGAUUCGAAAUUUUUCUUUGAGUAAAAUAUACUUAAGCAAGUUUUUCCGUAACGCUCUUGUGAUUUCAAAAGAUAUACAUAACCUCUCAUAAUUUGUAUUAUAAUAUUAAAGUGAUGAAAACAAUCUUUUAUUGUGACACAUUUAUAUCAUGCAAUCGAAGAAAGAAAACCUAAUUAAACUAAUAAGUUUGAGAUGUCGGGCACCCUUUUUCCUCGUCUCAUUUAAUCUAGAAAACCUUUCUUUGGAUCAAACUAUCUAACAUUGCUACCUAAAUCAUAAAUAUAUAUAUAUAUAUAUAUAUAUUUAUAGGACAAAAGCCAUCUAAACAUUUAGUCAUUAAAUGUGGCCAAAUGCUUCACUGUGCCACAUUUACAAAUUGUUAAUAAUCAUGUCAGAGGGGUUCGGUGUUGUAACUUCAAUAUCUAACUAUAUAAAAGCCGGAGUUGGAUAAUGAACAGUCAUUUUUUUGUCAAGCGGUUAUAACGUAAUUUUCAGCAACUUUGAGGGCAAAUAUGUUGGCUUCCAUUCUCCGCCCACCGUGCAAAUGAGCUUCCCCUUUGCCUUGACGUCAUGUGCAACAAUCCCUAUUCCCUCCUCAUCCUCACUAUCAUCAGAUGGAACGCAAAUAAACCUUCCUAUUUUACAGCUUCAGGUACAAAUUCAUCAUCCUCUGAAUCGAUCAACGCCACGUUAAGAUCAAAGCCACGCAAUUCAUCAGUGCAAGAACUUACUAAUCCUUUGCAAAUUCAGUCCAAAUAAUUAAAAUAUUAUUUUUGGGAGUAAAAUUAAAAUUUUGUAUCAGAUUUGUCCUUUGUGCUACAUGUCCAAUGAAUGACAAAGUACUACAAAUCAAUUAAAAAUUAAUAAACUUUAAGGGGUAUAGUUUAUGGACAAAUAUACAUUACCUAUUUAAAGUAUCGGCUCUUUAUGGGUAUUUUACUGUCAAACAUUUAAUUUAUGAUAAAUAUAUCAAUGUUUGUAAGUAAAAUUUAAAAAGUGCUACAGUAACAUUCUUACAAAAAGAAAAUCGGCAAUAAUACAUGACUCUUAAUGUGGAUUAAUGAUCUAAUAUUAGUGAGCGGCAUUUUACAAAAAUAUAAAAGAAAAAUAAUUGUUGUGAUUGUAUUGAUUAAAUGUUUUAAUUUGUGCAAAAAAAGAAAAUAGGCUCAUAUUUAUGGAACUUAGUGAGUAAUAGAGCUAUACAUAAAUAUAGAUGGGUAUCUUUAUAAUUACCUCACCCAGACCACAUAAUUUAUACAAAUCAUACCACACAAAAUGUCGACACUGCAUUGUCUCAAUUAUAGUACUUUAUUAACCAUUAUAUUACAAAAUAUCCUCCAUACUACACAAACUAUUAACACUAUAUUCACCCCAACUAAUUUAACACGCUAUUAUUUUAUAAUUUAAGUCAGACUUAUAACAAUUAUAUGACUCUCUACAUUAUAAGAAAUAUAUAACGGCAAAAAAUUAAGCAACUUAAUACGGGAAAUAUUAGCACUCCUACGCAACGCGCAGCCUGUCUCACUAGUCUAAUCUAACUAUAUAAAAGCGGGAGUUGGAAAAUGAACAGUCCAUUUUUUGUCAAGCCGUUAUCACGUAAUUUUGGGCAACUUUGAGGGCAAUUGUCAAGCGGAAAUUUGGUCUUUUGUCAUGUGGCUGGCUCUGGCUUUAGGAAGAUUCCGUUAAGCAUCAGAAUUGCCGAUGCUAUUUCAUUGAUUCUCUUUUGCUGGAAAAAGACAACAAUUAUUAAGAUGCCUCUUGGCAUUAUAUUUCAAUAAAAAAAGGUCUGGCUCUAGCUGAGGCUUGUUACCUGUAUUAUUGUGCUAUGUGGGCUACAGGGGCUAGGACUCACAAAAGAGAGCUGUACCUGUACGCUCUCUAUUGCAAGUAAUGCUACAGGCCUUGUUUUAGAGCUCUGCCAUAUGCCCUUUUAUCUUCUCCAAUAUCAACCCACCCCGGCCCGCCUCACCAAGAAAACCAGAAAAAAAGAAGAAAAUCUCUCUCAAGCUCUCCAAUAUAUAUAUAUAUAUAUAUCUAAAUAUAUAGAAGGGAGAAUUGGAUAAUGAAUAGCUCCAUUUUGGUCAAGCAAUUAUGCUGUAAUUCUUGAGCCAGAGGGAAAAAAAAUAACAAGUCCAACAUUGUCAUCAUACAAGUAAGCAAAAUCGGUUAAGAUGCCAUAGGUUUCAACUAAAAAUGGUUUCUAAUUCUAUAGCUUUUUCAAACGUACAACUAGAAGGAUAUAUAUUAGUCUAUAUAUACAUAUUUAGUCUCUAUAAUUAUUGGAAAAAGUUUAAUUUCCUUAUUUUUAUUAUUAUACUUUUCAUUCUAUAUAAAUAUAUAUAUAUAUAUAUUCUAUAAACAUGAGCUUACUUUUGUCUUCUAUGUGUGCUACAUUAUGAGUCUAUUUCCUUUUUAAAAGAAUAAUUAGUUUGUUAUUUUACUAAUAUAUCCAUGUUUAGUGUUUAUAUAAUUAUUAUAAUUUUUUUUUACAUAUUUGUUUUCUCUAAUGGCUCUAAAUUGCUGUAAAUUGAAAAGCGAUAUUGUGUGCUAAUCUUUUUAUAUUAUUUAUUUAAACAUGUAACAUUAAUUAGACUAUUUCUUACAUUUGAAAAUUAAAGUACUCUAAAUUUGAAAAAUAAUGUAAUAAUACAUGUCUUUUACUGUGGAUUAAUGACCUAAUAUACAUAUCUAACAAUAUAAAGGAAAAGUUGGCCUAUGCACAGUGGUUUUUUUUGUCAAGCGGUUAUCCUGCAAUUGUUAUUGGAUGUUAGGGCUAUUUUCAUCAAUUAUUUGUUUGUUUUUUAACAGCUGCUAUAGUUUUGGUGUAUUUAUCAGACAUGUUGACUGAAUUCAUAAUUGGUGGUAUAAAAAGUGAAACCUAUGAAAGUUGAUUUUUUGUGGUUAAUUAUUUGCUUUUGAAGUGCUCUGGAAAUGCAAAAUUACCAAGGAAAUAAUUGAUAAAUUGUUGUUGGCUUUAGUGACUUUAAAAAUGGCUUUUAUUACUGUGACAUGAAAUAAAAUUGAUAAAUGUUUUGUAAAUGCACAAUUAUUGAGGAAACAAUUAAUAAAUUAUUGUUGGGUUGACAUAGAAUAAAAUUGUUAAGUGUUCUAUAAAUGCACAAUUAUUGAGGAAACAAUUAAUAAACUAUUGUUGGCUUUAGUAACUUUAAAAAAUGGGUUUUAUUACUGUGACAUGUGGUGAUUAAUUUUUAGCAAUGUCAAGUUCUAUGGUUCAAGUGUUUAAUUGAUUUUCAAGAUCCCCUAUUUUUUGUGUCAAUAAUGAUUAAUACUCUUUGGGAAUGAUUCACUUUAUAAUUUUCUAAUUAUCCUGAUCUAAAUGCAAAAUAACCUUAUACAAUUUUCUAAUUUAUCCUUAUGCAUUCUAUAUAUUAUUGUUCUCAUGCAUUCUAUAUAUUUCAUAAUAGUUAACUUUUAACAAAAAUUAUAAUUCCCUAAUGAUCCACAUGAAUUAAAUAAUAACAGAGAUAUAUACUAAUAAACUCAUACAAUAAAAAACAAUUAACACAGGAAAUAUUAGUCCUCCUGUGCAACGCACAGGCCGUCUCACUAGUACAAUACAAAAUGUAGAGUGUGGAUAGCUACACUAAUGAAAUAAAAAAAAUUAGAGACAGCAAAAAUAAUUUUGUCACGAUGCAUGGCUACACUAAUGAUAGGUUUUUAAUCCAAAACCUUCUACUUACAAUCCCUUUCACCUUACCAUCCAAUUCAACCCUAUCUAGGGGACUUCACAAUCUAAUUGCGGCGUAGAACAAUUAACUCACAUCUCUAGGUACACACCAUGUAUAAAACAAGUUCAUCUAUUAUUAUGUUUAGAGUUUAAAACUAUUGAAACUUGUAGAAUGUUGUAUUGAAACUUGUAGAUCUAUACGCAUUAUACAAUGUUGUAUUGUGGUGGACUUUUAAUAUAAAAUUAAUAAAUUAAAUUCACAGAUAAAAGAAGUAAACUAACAAUUUUAAUGCACCACAACAAUAUAACUAGUCACUAUUUAGAUAAUAGUGAACAUUCUAAGAAACAGUUCUAGUGAAACACUCAAAAUUAGACGUCAAUUCUUGAACUCUUUUAAUUGAGUCUCAAACAUGCAAAUCUUUCAAGCACUCGAGCUCUCUAACUCUCUCUUACAAACUGAAGAAAAAGCCCCUAUUCAAUCUAGUAAUUUUGAGACAUCCGGCACCUUUUUCCUCGUCUCAUGUAGUGUAUUGAAGUCUGAGAAUCUAGUGGAGAUCAUGCUCAAAUCUGAAAAACCUUUCUUGGGGUCAAGCUGUCUAAUUUUGCUACACAUACCAUAAAUAUUUAUAGAACAAAAGCCUUCUAAACAUUUAGUCGUUGAAUGUGGCCAACUGCCUCACUGUGCCACAUCUACAAAUUGUGAAUAAUCAUGUCAGAGGGGGUCAGUGUUGUAACUUUAAUAUACAACUAGGUGGUGAGACCCCGCGUUUGACGCGGGGUGCCCCUAUUGUAUAGCAAGAGGAGUGAUUUUAGUAGAGGUAGGUAAUAUUUGUAAACAUGUUAAGGUAAUUUACAUAAAGUAGCAUAUUAGCAUGUAAUUUACAUAAAGUAGUAUAUUCUGGUGAUUAGAAACAGGAAUACAGAGAUGCAAAUGUCAAUAGUGCUAACUUAUCACCAGAAUAACAAAAGCAAUCCGUUGUCUAAAGCAAAAGUAAUACAUGCUUAGUUGCCUUUUUUGGAUUGAUGAUUGUUGGAGUUUUGUCAUUUUUUCUUUUAACUGCAGAGUUUAGUCGACCUUUGCAUGCUUUGUUGUUUUUGCCAGUUCUUGGUCAAGGCUUCUCUUCACUGAAGAUGAAGGCCCUUUGUCGGUGGUUUGAUCGUCUGGCACAACACAUAAAGCUGAUGUUGGUGUGGAAGUCGACGAAGCUUGUUCGAUUGAAGAUGGAAUGUCUGUGGUGAGGAAAGAUGGUGGAGUUGUAAGAAAUUCUGAUGGUUGUGUUUCAGCAAUAUGACCAGUUAGUGGUUGCUCUGCUGCUUCUUCUGGGAUGAAAGCUGUGAGAAAGAAUAGUGGGAGAGGAUGUCUUUGAGAGGGAACAUACGAUCUCAUUUCACAGAAGAAGUUUUGAUUUUGUAGUUUUUGAUUGAUUGUGCUAAAAAGCAGUGAUUCUCCCUGCAAUGUUAAUGGGAUAGUCUACGUUAGUGGUUUUGAUAGCUAAUGCUGAUUGAUGUUAUAUUUGUUUGUAUAAUUAUAUAAAUGUUAGUGUACCUGGAGAUGUUUUUCGUAGAUUUCAGUAGCAGUGGAAUCAAGUAGAGUUUCAGCAUACAUGUCAUCGAUUGUUGCCUCAAUGAAACCAGUGUCAUCGUAAAUUUGCACCUGAAACUUAGCUCUAUACCAUAAAUGGUUAUCAGUUUAUAAGAUAAAGUAUAUAAAAGUUGUAAUGAGAAAUUUUAAGAAAUUGAAAAUCAACUUACUUUGGUUUUGGUUUUGUAUCCUUGAGUCCACAAAAAUUGCAGUCAAAUUCCAUAUCCAUUGGAGCACCAGUGACCUUGUUGCAGGAAGUACAUGUUGCAGAGAAAAAUCGUUGAUUGUAAUUGAUGAUUCUAAUCUUCCCUUUGAUCCAAAAGUUUUUUAUCUACUCGAAACAAAAUUGUAUAUGUGUUAGCAUAAUUGAGUUAGUGGUAUUAUAACAGUAAUAAGCUGUGAAAUUGAUAAUGUAAAGGAUUAGUGGAUAUAUGUGUAUGUGUUACCAGAUUUGAUGAUGCAAGGAUUUGUGCAAUCAGCCGGAUUUCAGUGCUAGCCGGGACUGUUGUUUUUUGUUUAUUUUUUUCAUACAGCCUCUCAUUGAUGACUCUGUGAAUGUAAGAAAUGUUUUCUUGGGUCCUGUGAUAGGAAAAGUAACUAUCAGUGGUAAUGUGGAUAGUUUCGAAAAGAAGUUUCAAUAAAAACUAAUAGUAUAUAUAUGUGAAAUCAUACCAUGUUUUGAGCGCAGCAGUCUGAUGUAAGGUCGGAUCCAGAACAAUUGUGCUAUUUGGUCUAGUGCUAAUGUCAAUUCCUAAUUUAUUGUGUGGAGAAAGCAAAUUCAAUUGUAUUCAUUUAAAGUAAAUGUCAAUAGCAUCAGUUUGAUGUUAUUUGUAUUUUUACCAUGGUACGUGGUGAUUCUUGGUCGUAUAAUCAAAAUUGCUGGGUGCAUGUGGAUUGUGUUUAUGAGCUCAACACCUUCAUAGUAAACAUAAGGUUCCCACAUUAUGAAUAUCAUUGGUCUGCAUCUGCAAUAUUGAAUGUGUGGACAACAGAGUUGAAUGGAAAUGAUGACUGACAUGUUCAUAUAUAAAAUGCUAUGUAAGGGAAUUUAUGUUUCUAUUCUCAGAGUUAAAAUGAUGAGAGGCUUACUCAGGAUUGACAACUAUGAAUUUUCGGAUUCUUUGUGGUCCUCUUGCAAUACUGAUUACUUCUUCUGGGAAUGCAUGGAUUGCUAUACAUAAGAUAUCUGCAUCCAUGUGAGAAAUUUGUCGUUAGAAGAUGUACAGUAAGUUAGUGUAUAGUAUUUAUCAUGGAUGACUUGUUUAUACUGAAUCUAUCUGCAUCACUGGUUUUGUAUUUGUCAAGAUUCCAGAAAGAAGUGAUAGGAUAAUGGUCGAUUAGCUGAAGUGAAUCCGUUUUGCUGACUUUUUUGAGGAAGGUAGCUUUGCUCAACGUUAACUGCAGUGGAAUGGAGCUAGCUUGGUUUCUUGCAUCAGUAAUUGGCGCAAUAGCAGCAUUAGCAAUGUAGUAGGUCUCAUAAAGCUGCAAUUUGUCAUGGAUAUAAUUGACAUCUCUAUUAAAAGCAAUUGCUUGAAUUGAUUCAUGCUGUCAAAAGGAAAGAGAGGGGAAAGUCAAUGAAUAUAAAUACAAAUACUUAACUGGGAAAAGAGGUAAUGUAAUAAGUAAAGGAACAUAUUUACAGAACAGUGAUGCAUUAAGAUGGAAGUGUAAGCAGUUUCAUGGUAAAAUGAUAUUUUUUGAGAAAUAAGUUUUUUAGGAUGACAAUUAAUGCUAUAGGAAAUAUUAUGUUUGUAACCUGUUCAUCUGAAAACAUGAGUCUGAUGAACUAAGAGGUUUGAUCUUUUCCUGGGUAGAUUGGUGAUUUUUCAGUGACAAUCACCUUGAUCAUCCAAUCCUUUGUUUCAUGAGUCAAAGUGCUAACAGGAAUAUAUCUGCUGGUCAUAACUACAUAAUAUCGAACAUAUAAAUUGGUGAAAGUGGUUAAUAAUACUGAUGGCUGAAAAUUAUAUGACGUGAAUAAGCUAAAUAGAUGGACAAAGAAGAAUGUAGUGGAAAUAAUUAAAAUGCAAGCACACAUAUAUUAAUUCUAAAAUACACAACAGGCAAAGUCAUGAGCAUAAUUGCUCAAGUGAGUGUUGCAGCUGUAAGGAUUUCUUGAUAAACAAUGUUUCGAGUGGUAUUCUGUGGUAUGCAUUCAAGAGUAACUGGUCUUAGAAGUAUUUUUAGUUUUUCUGCAGUUCUUGCUCUGGACAUUGCAACAUACAAUUGACCAUGUGAAAAGACUGGCUCUUUUAAAAUAUAUUCCUACAAAAUCAAGUGUCUGUCCUUGUGAUUUGUUAAUGGUCAUUGCAAAACACAGAGAUACAGGAAAUUGAGUUCGUUUGAAUGGUAUUGAAUAAGACUCAUCAUUUGAGCUAGGAAGUGGAAUGCAAGGGAUGAAAACUUGUUUUUCAAUGUGAUUUCCUGAAGCUAUUUGUGCAUGAAUAAGAUUACGAGCAAAAUUCAAACAAGUUAAACGUGUUCCAUUACACAAACCUUCAGCAGGAUUCAAAUUUCUCAAAAGAAUAAUAGGACAGUAAGGUUUCAAAAUUAAUUCAUGGGGUGGUAAUCCGGGUGGUUGGAUAGUGUUAAGAAAAUCUCCAUGAUCAGCUUGUUUUGAAGGGUCAAUUGUUUGAUCGAAACUUAUGUAUCUUGUUUCUUGACCAGGAAUCUUUGAAUCAAAAAGUUGUUUAUAUGAUGGACAAACUCAUUUGUUGUAGUAAGAAUGGCUCUAUUGAUAACAGCGGAAGUAUUGUGAAUGAAAUCAGUAAGUGAAGGAUAGACAGCACUUAUCAAUUCAUCGAGAGAAGCAGCAUCGUCAACAAAAGGUAUCAGAAUAGAUGAUGGCAAUUGAAUUCUGCUAUCUCCAACUGUUGGUUGUGUGCCAUUCCCAAUUCUAAGCAACAAAUCUGAAAAUUGAGGGUCCAAUCGUGCUCGCAUAUUUUCAGUUAGCUGUAUUUUUUCUAGAUAAGGCCAAAUGUAAGAAUUGAUCAGUGAUGCAGAUAUAUAAUCUUCUUUCUGACCUUUUUGAACAACAGGGAGAGUUUGUUGAAAAUCACCACCAAAGACAAUAGUUUUGCCACCGAAUAUAACAUCAGAAUCCAGAAUAUCACGAAGCAUCGUAUCAAAUGAUUCAAUUGCAUAUUUCUUAGCCAUUGCUGCUUCAUCCCAUAUAAUUAACUUUGCAAGUUUUAGAAGCUUACCGAUGCUACUUUGCUUUGAGAUGUUACAGGUUUGGCUAUUGUCUUGGUGAAGUGGAAUCUUAAAGCGUGAGUGCGCCGUCCGUCCUCCAGGUAACAAUGAUGCUGCAGCACCAGAAGUCGCUGUUGCUAGUGCAAUAUGACCCCUUGAUCUCACAGUUGCAAGUAAAGCUUUAUAUAAGAAUGAUUUGCCAGUUCCACCAGGGCCAUCAAUAAAAAAAACACCAGGGAUAUUUCUAUUCAGCUUUUCGAUUAUUCUGUCAAAUGCAGACCUUUGCGCUUUGUUCAACAUUGAAACUGAAGCCAAAUCUUCAUCGAAAAUAGGUAUUUGGUACUCAGUUUCAAUAUCUUUAGUGCAGCUAUCUGAGCACAAGAGACGGUAAGGAAUGUCUGUCAAGUUGUAGUCAUCUAUAUUUUUUCCCAUAAUUUGCAUAUAUUGAUCAAUGGGUCUGAGCACUUGAAUUUGUACUUGUUCCUUUGAUAAUGCCAAAUUCUUUUGAAUGUCUUCUGAUAGAUGAUUUCUAUACUUCAACCAAAGAGCUCUUGGAUUUGUUGAUGGAGAAUGCACAAGCAACACAGCAAAAAGCUAUCUUAAUGAACUUGGCAUGUUGUAUACAAGUGCCUCAGAUAAGCAUUCAUCAAAACCAUUGUUUACUUGAAGCAGUCCACGAACUUCUGUUGCCUCUUUGUAUGUAGAUGAUAUAUAACCAUCAACAGAUUUUAAGUUAUCAAAGGAAGUUGGUUUUCUUACGUGCAUGAGUAACAUUCUGAGGUAGUAUCUUUCUCCUUCAAUAGGGUGGGCUGUGUUAACACGGCCAAUGACUUCUCCACGUUUUCUGUCCAUCCAUAUUCGAUCACCUUCAUCCCAAGUGAAAUAUUUGGGAAAUUCUUUGUAGAGACAAUUCAGAUUCUGUGCUCUCUUAUUUGUUCGAUUCAUAGAGAAGAAUUCUGUUAACAUUGUCCUUGAAUUUCUCUCAUUAGCAAGAACAUCAUCCAAUGUUUGAUUUUCAGCAAAUGAUAUCGACUGAUGAUUUUGUAAAUGCAAGUGCAUUGUCAUUACUGAUGGAUGAAUAUUGGUUAAAUCGAAUGCAAAUAUCCUCCACAUGGCUUCAGGAGCACAAAUCCAUCUAGCAGAUUGGAAAUUGCGAAUCUCAUCAAUGAUAUUUUCAGUUUGUUGAGAAGUGAUCUGAUACAUAACUUUGUCGUGUCCUUUGUAAAUAUACUUGUAAAUGUACUACACUGCUUCAAUACCAGAGCAUAUCUUUACAUUGAUGUGGCAAUCAAAUUUUGCAAGGAGAUAUGCGUUGUAUGGAACAAUCCAUCGAUUAUCAAGUGUGUAAUUUCUGAUAAUAACACUUCUUCCAUCAUUACGUCUUCUGUAAAUAGGAUAAGAGUUUCUUCCAUGUUUAGUGUAUGCAGAAAAAUCUUUUGGAUAGUUAUUUCUGCACUUGCGAUUUUGACGCAUACAUGGAGAAUUGAGAUUUAGAAGACCACAUGGUCCAUGAACCAUAUGUUUUAGCACCAAUGAAUGUAAAUAAGGUGACUCUUUUGGAUCUGGUAGCUCUGCAGAAACAAUCCUAUCAUAUGCUUCAGGAGAAAACAUCUUCGAUCUUUGUUUGAGGAUAAUUAGAAAAUGAGCAUGUGGUAAUCCUCGUUUCUGGAAUUCAAUCACAUAAGUAUAAGCUGCAACUUCACCAAAUAGAUUCUUCUUGAACAAAUCAUCCUUUAAUUGCUCAAUUUUUGCUCGGAAUACUCGAGAAACCAAAUUUGGUCUAUUUUGGAUUUCAUCUUCAUCUGCUAAAUGCUUUUUAAUCUCUGGCCAAGAUGGAUUGCAUGUCAUUGUAAGGAAGAUAUCAAGUUUUCCAUACCAUUGAACAAGUGACAUAGCAUCCAUGUAUCUUCGACGCAUAUCUCUAGGACCUCCUAUAAAACUUGCUGGAAGAAUAAUUCGCUUUCCAAUGUUUGAUGCAGAAGUUUCACCACCAAUUACAGUAUCCAUCAGUCCUUUAUAAACUUCAGUUCUCAAGUGUUGCUGCCUAUGUUUGUGAAAUUCCAAUCGUGAUGUCUCUAGCUUAAUAUAUGUUUCCACUGAAUAUUGCUACAGCAAUCUUCCUAUGUGUAACAUAUUUGAUCUAUCACGGUCCCUUAUUUGGUCUUUUUUUUUUUUGUUGCUGUGGAAAACAGAUGAAAAUACGAAAUACAAAUUAGAUGUGAAAAAUUAAAAUAUAAGUAAAUUUGUAUGAGUAGCUUGGAAUUGUAAGUAGAGAAUAAAUAGAUAGAAAUUAUAUAGACAUAUCUGAAAUAUAAGAGAAUAUGUAUCUGAAUUUCUCAGUCUUGAUUAGCUAUAAGGAACAAUAAUAUAAAGCUGCAAUUCAAUGCAAUAUAGCAUAAUAGAAAUAAAUCUAAGUCAGUGUUUUGGUACUAUAGAUAAUGAUGGAUUUGUUAUUUAUGCCUUUUUCUUCAGCAGAUAUAGCUUCAUUUAUGUGUGAGCAAUUCUGGAGUGACACAAUAUUUUCCUUCUGACAUGUUCCGGAUGCUUGGUUCAGAAUAUCUGAUUUUGGUAUUCGGAGUAUGCCUUUGUGCCAUCCGGUCUCACCUCUUGCAAAUAUAAGAGGAUAUUGGAAGGUAUCAUAGCAUCCAUAGUACUGUUUUAGUAUACGUUUAUUUCCUGCUCUUGUGAAAAUCUGGAUGUCUCGAAUGCCAUCACCAGUGUUAUAAUCAUUUUCAUUCCAUAUUGCUGCUACUUGAGAUACUGUAGGAAGAUUGUAGACUCUUUGAUCCAUACCUGGAUCUGAUUUGAGGGAAAUCUUAUAGUGUUCAGCAUCAUGAAGGUCGAUCAAACUUCUUAUAAAAGUGGAGUAAGGAUUAUCAUGUAGAAUAUCCUUAAGCUGUUCCACAAUAGAUUCUUUGAACUUGCUAGAAAUUGCCAUGCGAUUUGCUAUUUCAUGUUGUGUAUCAUAGAAAUAUAACUGCAGAUUUGUUGCUCUCUCACCCUCAGAAGGAACCAAUGGAUUGAUGAAGUGAUAAACUUGGCCUUGCACUCUGAAUGUGUAUAUACCAUUAUUCCUUCUGCUUAAAUCUUUAUCGUAAUGAACCCCCAAGGAUGUAAAGGCAAACAUAUUGUUGUAACUACGGAUGCACAAUCGAAACUCUCUAGCUUCAGGAGUAUUUGCCUUAUAAAGGUGAAUUAAUUUAUCUGGCAUUUCAGUUUCGACUAAACGAAUUUCACCUGCCGAGCAACAGAAUCGCGGUGGUUCCAUAUAAAAGCGCUUAGCACGACAAAAUAUGCAAUCUGGAACCUCUGGCAAAACACUUGGCUCAGAUGGUAUUUGUUCUAAUAAUGGUAUUUUCCUUCGUCUGUGAUGAACAUCUAUACCAUAUGAAAUACAAGUCCUUCUAAGAAAUUGAAAGAAUAGACAGGCUGUAAAACAUCCAAAACAGGAGCGCACAGAAAUUUUCAUGUAGGAACUUAAAGUAUAUAAGUACCAUUUGAAUGUUGUGGAUUGCUGGUGGACGAAGAGCCUUCAUGUAGAAGAGUUGGUAGCAGAGGUGAAGAAUGGCUCAGGCUAUUUGUUUCAAAAGUAGUGGAAGAAACGGUGUUAUCAAAAACCACAUAGUCAAUUGUUGUAAUAGCUGUUCAUAUAGCAAAAACAAAUAGUGAUAGGUUGUUGGUUAUCAUUAAAUUUCAUAGCCAAUAUAGGAUAUAAAUUCAGGAGGGUGGAAAAUACUUUGAUCAAUAGCAUUAUUCGUAGAGCUGCAUUGGACGAUUGGCUUAUCAGAAAUACCAGCGACAGGAAUUUCAUAGCACAUACACUUAGCUUUCAAUAAAGCUGAAAGUGAUACAUGAUUGUCAACAGGCACAUCAACAACUGUAUGGUCUGUUGGAGGAACAGGCAUAACAUAUGUGUUGCAGCUGUCCCUGUUUUGACGUUCACCACUAUCUUGUAUGUGGUUCUGUUUCUCUGCUACUUUUUUAGCAUAUCUUUGUCGCCGGCGUUCAUUAGCUUGUAUACGACAUUCAUCCUCAGAUGUAUACUUGCGUUUUCGACCCAUAUUACAAGAUGGCUCUUCAUAGGAAAAAGCGUACAGGGCAUAAUAGACGCGAUAGAAAGUUUCUUGUAGUAUAGGACAGAUAAUAACUCCAAAGAAGAAAGUUUAUAGAAGGAGGAAAAAAGUAGAAAUAUCAUAGCUAAAAGAAAUUGUGAACAAUGAUCGCAUUUAAAUGAAACACAAACAAAGCCAUAGAAUCAGAGUACAUUAUGCAACAAAACACACAGUCAGAGUAAACUAUGGACAUAGUUGAUGGAGAUGCAAAAUUUGAGUAUAAAACAAAUGUUAGUACCUCCAAAACGCUGCAACAAAAUUCCAGAGUGUAAAUUAGAGGGAAGGCAGCUGAUACAAAAACACAUAAAAUAAAGGAAUGUCAAUAUUUUUGACACAAAUAGAAAGCAACAAGAAAUAGCACACACCAAACAAAUUUUAAAAUGACAAAGGAAAAAAACCGCGACAACUCAGAAAGCUAGUUAAAAGAGAGAAAUGGGAAAAAUGCAUACAGAACACAACAUGCAUGGAAAAGCUCAUCACAACGAAAAAGCAAGAGGACAGGAAAAAGCAAGAUAAAGGACAGAUAAAUCAAGAUGGUAACUAACCAAUAACAGAAAGGAUAUGGUAGCUCACCAGUAACACAAAGGAAGACAAAAUGGAAGAGGCAAACGAAGCAAAAACACAGAAGACUUGUAGAAUUUUUGCAAAACAGAGAAGAAAUAGAAGAUAGGAAAAAGAAAAAGAACGACAAUAAUGGAGGAACUCCAAAUCAGCGAGGAGCACAGAUGAGAUAAGAUGGCUUAAAUGUCUAAGAUAUUAAGAAUGAAAGGUUAGCUGAAGAUAGCUGGCUAUCCAUGCAAAGCACACGCGGCAUGCAUGCAAAAUAUAUAUAACAUUAAUGACGCUAAUGCAACAGCAGUGGAGUUGCUGAGGAACCGAGUGGAAGACAAACAGAAGAGCCACACAGAUAGCUGGAAAAAGAAAGCGAAACCGAUAAACAACUGAGCAGAAUAUAGAAAAUAGAGAAACCUGACAUUAACAUUUAAUACAGAUGAAAAUGGCUCAAAUCUUAAACUGAACGACACUGAAAAAUAACUUCAAUAUAGCUGAUUAUCCACGGAAAAUACACGCGGCAUGCAUGCACUAUAUACUGGCAAUGACUGGCAAUGACAUGUAUACGAAGAGGUGGCCGACUUCAUAUUCAUGUAGAUGAAAAUGCGCAAAGCCAGAUGAAAAUGCGCAAAGGCAGAGUAAGAGUGAUGGCAGGCAAAUAUGGAUAGAAAUGGAUUUUGGUCGAAGAUAAUGGUAAUCUUGCGGGGAACACAAUGAUAAGAAACAUGUGCUAUCUCAUGCCUCCCAAAGCAUUAAAAAGACGAUGAUGUCCAAAAUGCAUAUAUAAAUAACAGCAUAACCAGGACAAAGGACAAAAAAGUCGAAAAGAAAGUCAACCAGGGAAAAUGAAUCGGAGGAAAUAAGAACCCAUACAAGGCUGCAGCUGAAAAAAGACAAGAAAGGGAACAAAUGUGAAAUAAAUUACAAAAUAACUGGCACAAAUCACUGUUCAUCGCCCUUCCACGGUUUAUGUAGUGUAGGAUACAAAAUGUAGAGUGUGGCUCCUGAUCCAAUUAUUUAGAGACAGCAAAAAUAAUUUUGCCACGAUGGAUGACUACACUAAUGAAAUUAAAAAAAUAUGUAUUCAUUCUCACAACUACAAUGCUUUGAGCAGUUCGACAUUCACUAGAAAGGAUAAAAUAUGCAGAGUAAUUUGUUCCGAUGAAUUUGGAAAUAUCUGAAUUUAUGUACACGUGCAUUAUUUUCUUGUUUUGUCCCCGUUACUUCACCAAAUCCAAUGAAAUUGAAAACGGAUGUUUGGAAAUUUGAUUUAUUUUUUUAUCUAGAUUGUGUGGCAAGUAAGUAAUUUCUAACAUUUUCUAUUUGGUAUUUACUUCAAAUGGUCAUUAAGAAAUUUCUAUAUACAUGGGUUUCGUCAGUAUUUUAAGUCAUUCAAUUUCAUUAGCCGGGCAUUGGUUAAGCAACGUAUUCUAUAAAUAGGUGCGGAGUGGCAACACACAAAGGGAGCCGCGUGGUCUUAUGCAUGAGGUAAAAGAAGUUAUACAAAGGUUAAAUUUGACGUUCAAGUCGUAUUCUUAUUUGAGGUUCUUCCCUUAUAAUAAAGAAUAGGUGUUCUUUCCCUAGUCAUAAGUUUUAUAAUUGAGUCAAACCAGGUUAAAUAUUUUCUAUCACUCUUAUUUCAUGCGGUGGUUUGGUGUCAUUAAAUAGGUAAGUUCAUGAUUGUUCAAUAAUUAUUUAUUUUGCAUCGUGGAUCCCAACAACAGGCAUCAGAGCAUAGUUGGAUCGGAUUAAAUAUUGAUAUCAAAUGGAUUUGUAACAAUUAUCAAUUUAACAAUUUGUCAACACCAUUGUUCAAGAAAGUUUGGUAAAAAGCAUUGAAGGGGAAAGGAUUGGAAGCCAACAAACAUCUCAAUAGGUGAUAAAGGAUAAAAGAAAAUAGUGGAGUCCAAUGUAAAAUUCGAAUGUAAUCCAAUGGAGAUGUUUUCACAAUUUUCAACUAUGUGCAUUUCGCCUGGCGUUUGGAUUUUAGAUUUUGGUUGUAGCCAUUCUUUGGUUCGUGUGGUAUAUGUCCAAAGGACACAAAAAAUUUUAAAUUUCCAUGCGUUAAUAGGCUCCAGAGGCUAUGCGGAUUUUGUUACAAGGUGGAGCAUUAAAAAUUACACACACGGUGAGAUACCUCUGUUGAAAGGGAAGAUGUGACGCCCCGAAAAGUAGGGUUUUCGUGUUAUCUAAAUUUUGUUGGAGGAACGGAGUAGCACAGCUUUUCAACUCGGAAAAGAAAAGAAAAUUUUGAAAAAAAAAACAGGGGCCAAAUCCGGCCGCAAAUCCGCCCAGUUCUUGGCCGGAUUGCUUGAAGGUUUUGAAAAAAAAUUGGUUUAGCUACUGCCUUGAAUCCGGCCAGAUUUCGGCCGGAUUGUGACGUGUUACAGCCGGUCAGAAGCUUUGACCGGCUGUUUCCUUCAUAAAUAUCUUGUUUUGGUUGCUUUUUGUCUUCAUUUUUGCUCCUGCUCAACCGAGCCUCUUGAGAGAAAAACAAGAAAAGCUCUUCAUUUGUCCAUCUUCAAUUUCUACUCAAAUCUUGAGUUUUAACCGAUGGUUUUGGAAAAUAUUUCAUACAAGGGCUCACUAUGGUGGUUUAAAGCUUUUGAUGGAUUGGUUUUGGAAGGAAAGCUCUAAGUUGAUAGCUUUCUUGAAGUUGAGGUAAGUUGGAUAUACAAGUUUCCUUUUGUUCUAAUAUUGGUUAAUAAGUGGUUUGUGGUGGUUAAAGACGUUGUUUUGUGGAGUAUUUCAUGGGUUGAAGGAAGUUAUGGUGAAUUUCUGAUUUAUUGGGUAUUUUUCUGAUUUGUUGACCUUGAAUUGAUGGAGUGAGAUAGUGUUAAAUGGACUCUUGAUACGUUAAUUGCAAUUGUUUACGGAAAAUUUCCGCUUGUAGGGCAAGAUUCCGGUUUCUAGGGUUUUAUUUGGGGAUUUUCUUAUGGUUGGCUUUAAGCUUCUAAUUGGCUUGAUUGAAGGGUAUUGUGGCCCUAAUUGGAUAUGAUUUAUCGUUUACGAAUCGUAUGUAUAAUUGUGGUUAAUUACUAUGAGACUUGGUGAAUAUUUGUAAGUUGGAAAAUAAAGAAAGUAAGGGGAAAUGUUGUCCGACCUUUGAGAGUGCUUGGUUGCUUUGGAUUUGAGUUGUAGCGCUUGAGUUCAAUCUACGAAACUGUAUAUGAUGGAUCAUGAGCCGUGGAGGUGAGUGACCUCCGAACUAUUUGCAAAGUUACUUUGGGACUAUUUCUUGCAUUAUUACUCGUUUGCAUAUCAUGUGUGCCGGCAUGUGAGUCCAUGAAAUGCUUUGGCUUAAAUGAGUCUUGGGGAGUCUUGUGCUGAACACCAACGUCUCAUCGACUUUGUACCUGGAGCCGACGUCUCCACCUCUGUUCAUUUGGAGCAAAUGGCUCCCUCUUACUGUUCACUGAUUACUAGAUCUUUUUGAGCGUUGGGUGUUUAAGUGCAAUGAUUUCACUGGCUCACAAGAGCAAUAAACGUACAUUGGAUUUCUGAUUCAUGACAUCAUCAAAACGAACGACUGUAAAGCUUAUUUGAUUUUUGGAUUUUACUGGUUACUCGCUGAGCUUUUAGCUGAUCUCAAAAACUAUUUUAUUCCCCUCCACAGGGCUCGUGGCGAAGGAAUGGCUUGUAGUACUUAUUCCUGUGAUCGGAUGGAUUAUCUCUUGUGUACUUUGAAUUUUGGAAUUUCUCCUGUAUAAUAGCUGGUACCAAGGAUCAGAGUGGCGCAGCGGAAGCGUGGACGCUUCGCUUAGUAUAUGUAAAUUGUGGAAUUUGAUGUACAUAUGAGAACUGUAGUGAACGACUGAGUCCCGGCGAGAGUCGGGCAGGCGGUCCGCCGAAUCCUUUGGUUCGCCUUAGGGGAAGGUGGGGCUGUCACAGAAGAAGUAUGGUUACCUCAAUGGUUGAAAGUGUAGUUUAGGAAAGGGAUAAUUUCAGAAAUUUCCCUUGAGAUUUCUGAAAAUUUCACUGGCCUCCCCUGAGAUUUGUAAAAUUACAUUUAUCACCCUUGGUAGAAUUGUGAGCCCAAUUAUUUACACCAUAUGGGAAGAGAUUACUUAUAUACCCUAAAACAUUAUGUCUUAGAGAAACUAAUAUCUAACGAUUGAUUAAUUAGAGCACUAAUUAACGAAAACAACUGUUGAGAAUUUCUUUAAUGAUAAAUAGUGACUUGCAAUUAUAAAAUAAGGCCAAUUGAUAUACCAAAUGACACUAUUUCAUGAUUCAUAGAACUUGAUGAUGAUCAGAAACCAGUUGUACACAAUGUGAGAAGAAGAACUUUGGUAAAAGAAAAAAUACAGGGCAAAAGAAGAUUGUUCAUGAGAAAAUUUUCUUUGAAACUUUUAAAACUGUAAUAGUUGUAAAGCAAUUUUGUGGAAGUAAAGGAGAAAGAAGGGAAAAGAAAGGCAAAAUUCAAAAUUUUUUUAUAUUCAAAAUCACAAGAAUCAUAGCAAACCUAAUGUUAAGAGCAAUGAUUAGUCUAUUUUACUGAAUCUCAUGAUCAUUUGUUUUGUUUUAUUGUUUAUUUGUAUUGCCUAAUAUAUUGAAUAUGAACUUUUUCAAUGACGAAAUAUAUGUGUUAAUUGUUUCUAAUUUUUAAUUGUUUUCAUUUUUUCACUAAUACAACUUAUAUACUUAUAUAAGGGGUAGUUAUGGGAUAAAAGUUUCAUUUCUCUCCUUAAAAUACCUUUUUAAUGUCACAUUUUCUGAUUUGGACUAAUUUUGUUACUAAAAUGUUAACCUCAGGGAAGGUUUGUGUAAUUUGACAAAUCUCAAGAGAGGCUAGUGAAAUUGUUGGAAAACUCAGGGGAUGUUUCUGAAAUUAUCCCUUUAGGAAAAGGAAUCCAAAGUUGCUUCCAAAUGAUAAGUCGUGGCGAAAAUGAAAAUCUUACAAACAGAUAAUAAAUUGAGCAAUGAUUGGGCAUUGAUCCAAUGAUUAGGGAGAGUCUGUUAAAAUUUUCACGUAUACUAGGUUGAAGGGUUUAAACCUUGCGUAAUGCAUUACAAGGAAGUGUGGUGCUUACUUGUUCUUAAAAAACCCUGCUGCACUUGUCUGGUCUGGUAGACUAGUGUAGAAGUUCUGAUGCCCUUUUAGAUUCCCCUUCCCCAUAGUGUAGGAUAUUGUAGAAAUUCUGAUGGCUCAUCUUAUUGUAGAAAUAGAGUAGAUGUUGCCGCUAAUAACCAAAAAAUGAUAACAAUAAAUUGAGCCAUCUCACAUGUUCAAGUUAGUCAUACAUGUUCAUUUAGUGAUAAUUUUUAUUUUGAUAGACCAUUUUUUGGACCCCUUUUCAAGUUUAGAACUGACCCAUUUAUUACGUUUUGGUCUAGGGAUUUUAACUGGCCAAUAAUUUUGCGGAAUGGCCCUUUUUAAAAGUCCCUGAAAAACUACUAGCUGCUGAAACUCGUCCAAUUAUGCAGACAACUACAGCAUGUAUAUUUUGAAAACACACCAGUAUACGGGCAUCACCAAACCCAAAAGGCCUGAGGCCUUGACAGGCCCCAAAAUAUGUUGAGGCUAGCAGAGUACAUCAUUUCACUCCAAAAUUCUAAUAAUAAUUUUAUUAUCUAAACAAACUCACGGGAUAUAUGCAAGGCUAGUAGCCUAGUAUGUAUAGUUUCAUUUUCGUAAUCUUGGUUGGGGAAUUAAUUCCCUUGACAAUCCGUAUUAGUAUAAAUUUCCUGAGGCCUAGAGAAUAUUUUGUUUAUAUCUUACUUUGGAAUUAUUUUUUGUUUAUUGGCUGGAGGGUAAAGAGGGACUAGAAAAGGAAUUAGAACUAAUUUAUGUUCUUUAUGCUGAUGCAUUUUGGGGCAAGAAUUGCUUUAGAACCCCAAAAUCCAGAUUUCGACUCCUUCAAUCUUAACUUUUGAAUCCCAAUAAGAUGAGAAAUUAGGUAGUGGAUUGGCAAAAGUUUGUGGAGCUAUGGAUGAAGAAUAGUCAAGACUGAAGAACUGAACCAUUUUGAAUACUGUAGUGGCCAUAAAAUAUGUUGAAUUUGAAAAGAAUACCAUCAAUUCCAUAUUUUCUUUUUAGCCUGUUAUUUUAUUUUAUUUUUUUGAUAAGUUUGUCACUUUUGUUGAUAAAGCAAUAACUGUUCAGAACAAAUACAAAUCUCAAAAGAAGGAACUAAUUUAAUUUGCUAGAACCUGCGACAAAUUUCCGUUGCAUAACAUAAAUGUGUCACAAUAAAAGAAAAAAGGAUAAAUUAUACUAAUUUAUCUCCCUGUGGUUUAGCACUUUUACACAUAACUCCAUUAUGAUUUCAAAAACUAUACAUGAGUCUCUCAUUAUUUGGAUGAAAGUUUCAAACUAAUGGAAUUUGCGUUUCAUUAGUGAUUCAGCUUAAAUGUCAAAAGUAUCCUAUGUAAAGUUGGAUAUUAUUCAUUAAUCACAUGGCAAUUAUGCACAUAUUUCAAAAAUCAUAAUGGGGUUAUAUGGUAAAAGACAAAACUAUAAAAGAUUAAAAUAUCAUGCAUAUUAUAUUUAUACAUUUAUAUUACUUCUUUUAUUUUAGUUUUUAAAUAAGGAUAAUCUCGACAUUUUUGUGGGUUCCAUUACGGAGGAUCAUUUCUAUCAUUUUGACACUUUAGUCCAAAUUAUGAGAGAGUUAUGUAUAGUUUUUAAAAUCACAGGAGUGUUACGUGCCAAAUCGCUUAAGUGUAUUUUACCCAAAGAAAAAUUUUGAAUCAAACAAAAAAGAAAUUGCAAUAAUAAUUUACAUGCCCUUAUUCUGCCUAUAUUGUGGUCCAGGGUUCAUAUGUCUUGUCUAUUUCACCUUAAAAGUUUAUGCAUGGAAGGAGGAGCUGAUUUUGUUAAUUCAAUAUUUAGGUGAAGAUUCUCUCUGCAACUGCAUCAACAAGUUGGUAUUGGCAGCUACUGUCAAUCGCGUUUGGCGUGAGAAGAAUCAUAGGCUCUUUACUCAUAAAUCUACUGCAACUGAUUAGAUUGUCAAGAGGAUUUGCAGGAUCCGGAAAGGUUUCAAGGACACUAGAGCAAGUGAAUUGAUAACUUAGUCUUAAUAGGGAUUUCCCAAAGCUGAUUUUUGAACAGCGUUAUCUGCCGAUUAGUUUUGUUAAUUUUUUUUAUUCAGAUUCGUGCUUGUGUAUGCUAUUUUGCUUCAUAAAUAAGAGAUAUAUAAUUUGAUGCAUAAAAAAUUUAUUUGAGUUGAAAAACAGAAAAAGAAAGAAGUCUUGGCCAAACUAGUACUCUUAUCAUUAGGUUGUAGUCAAAAGAACAAUAAUUAACACCUCCACAAAUUGACAAACAAGACAAAAUUCUAAUUUUAAGACCAAAAGCCAACAAAAGACAAACUAUUGCACAAAACAACCACAACCCCAAAACAUACAAGAGCCUUCUGUAAAACCAUAAUGAUCAUAUAGAACAGACCCGGCCAAACCAACGAGCACUGCAGCCAUAAACCUGGCAAACUGCUUGUAGUGUGAGCAGCAAAAUCAGCAAUAUCGCAAAAAAGAACUUGACAGCAUCCUCAGAUGGAAUAAAAUGGUCUCAUAUGAAUCUCCAAGUUCUGACUCUGAAAGUGCUGUCAUAAAUCCUAUUCAAAUCCUGAGUAGCCUUUUCUAAUUCAGGAAGGGCACUCUGACUACUAGAUUUGCUUAUCCCAUUGAAGAUUUCCUCAAUUUCUUCACUCGGGAGAUCGCUUUGUAUGAUUCCCUUUUUCUUGAGCAAAUCUACAUCUUUUGCAGUAUCAAUAAUGCCGCACAUGAAAUCCACAUAUCCGGCAAGUAUAAGGGUAGAUCCAGGAGAAGCUGAGGCAACUUCAUAAGCCACCAGGUUCCGUAAUAUCAGUUCUGAGUCAGUGUUCAGAGUGAUUACAGGGAGGUACAUUACCCGUUUCUCUUCAUCAAACUGCAUGAUUUUGAUGCCUGAAUCUGCACUCCAUACUUCAAAUUGUACUCUGGAAAUUGCAUGAAGUUGGAAAGCAGAUGGGAUACGGAUCUCCAGGGACGGAGCCAGAAAUUUAUUUUUGGGGGGCUGAAGUGUAUUAAAAAUUUUUUUUUGUGACGAAAUAAAUAUAUUUAAUAAGUAAAAUUUAGAAUCAAUAAUUAUAAAAAUAAUAAAAACAUAUAAUUAUACAUACCCAAAAAUUUGUUAUUGAUUAACACUUGAAGUAUUGGUAAUUGUUGCACUCGAAUAAUUCAAUUCUUUUUUUUUUAAGGUUGAGAACUAGAAAUAGUAAUUUAUUUUAACUUUUAAAUCUUGAGAACUAAAAGUGCUUUUUUUUUUUUCAGUUUGGUAAAAUAUGACGACUUUGUAAAGCUUAACACCUGCUUGAGAGGAAAAGUAAACACAGAUGGUUUACUCAGGAAUAGAAAAAUAAUGACAAGUUGAACAACAGAAAAGAACAUUACAAUGUACUAUGUGUCUAGCUUGUGUACAGAAUACAGUCUUGAUCCAAUUGUGAUCCAUGCCACUUAGACUAAGCAAUAACUGUUAAAACUUCAAAUUCAUUCACAAAAUGUAAUAAGGUCUCCAAAAGAGAGAAUGGGAAAGACUUUGAGAAGUUCCAUUUGCAGUGGGCAAAGACUUGACGUACUCAAACUAAACAAAGCUGGAUAUUUGGAACUUUCUUGACUUUAGGCUGCCCAUCCAGCAUUACUACUCAAUUCUGCACAGACUGGAAACCACCUCAAUUGCCAUAAAUUCCAUACAAAAGGUCAAUGUCCACUUUGGGGACCAGGCCAGUUAAGAAGCACCCAAAUAAUGAAAGCACCACACCCAUCCAUUAAUUUAACGUCGCGUUAUCAAGCUGGCAUAUUGCCCAUGAAUUCUUCAUCCUCUUAGCCAGGAACCUUCUUGUCUCGUUCUCACUCGGCCAAGUAUAAAAAGACAUUCCCAAUGCUGAUGUCCUCGCUCAAAUCCAAAGCUAUCUGAUCAUAUACUAGCAUAUAAAUUAACCCCCGCUUCAAUUCUUCUCUAGAAUUUCACCUUACGACUUUCAUACUAGGGAUUUCUUCCAGUUAGUAUUAUUACCAAAAUCUAAACCAAUGGCCGCCGGAAUCCCCUAUAUAUAGGGGGUUUUCCGGCGGCUUGGGGGGGCUUAAGCCCCCACCAGCCCCCCCUUAAAUCCGUGGCUGCGGAUCUCCUCAAUUGAAGAGUUUCCUUUUUUUGAAUCUUCUUUAUAAAGAGCAGCAAGUUUCUGUAGUGGCAGACUUGCGACCACUUGCAGAGGUCUCUGCCCUGUAAUAUCAGCUAAAGCCCUUGCGCCCUGUGUAAAAAUGUCAGCGGAACUUUCAAAUGAUCUGCAAUAAGGAUCGAGUGAAAGCUUAUGCGAAUGCUCAAUAGCCUGAUCUCCAAAAGACCAAUUUUUCACAAUCAAAUUAUACAUAUAACUCAGAAGAUGAGGAUUAGAAGUGUCACGGUAUGUGCUUUACAGAACGACAGGAACUUUGAAGUUAACCAUUUUUCCCUCUCUUCUUCCUCGUCCACUAUGUUACUUAAAUUCGGGCAUAGGAGUCCCCCGGACACGGUUAUAGUGCGAAAAGUUAACCCUUUUAGCUUCUCUUCUUCCUCGUCCACUAUGUUAGUUGGACUAAGGCACGGAAGUCCCCCGGACACGGUUAUAGUGUGAAAAGUUAACCCUUUUUCCUUCUCUUCUUCCUCGUCCAAUAUGUUACUUGUACUCAGGCACGGGAGUCCCCUAUGAGGUGGUAUAGCCUUUAGUAUUUCUUUCAGUACAGUGGUGGGCAUUUGAUUCUCCAACAUUACAAGCUCCUAAGCUAACUUCCUGUCCUCCGAAUCAACAUUUCCUUUAUCUGUAUAGGUGCUCAGCCGAUGAAGCAAAUAUACACCAUCAAUAGACAUGAUCCAUGCCAAAGUACCGCCAUCAAUGUCCAAGUACUUGCUGUAGCAAGCGCGUACCAAGAGCUCAAGCACUUUGACCUUGUCGACAAUUAGGCUUUUGAAAUUCCGGUACUGUUCUGGCUUCAAAAAUUUCUUGACAGCCUCAAGCUUUCUGCGCUCCAUUUCAUCAAGAUCAGGCCUAAAGUGAUGAUAUGCUCCUAGGCCUAUCUGCCGAGGGGCAUAAGCUUCUGGCUUUGUGUCGCAUACAUUUUUUGGUACACGAAAGAUGGAAGCAUGAUUAUCAAUGUAUAUGAUGAAAUGUUCAUUGAACUGGUCAGUCCAUCUUUGCUCGCUUGUGAUUGAACCAAAAAAUCUAGACAUGGUGCAAAGGAAACGCGGUCAGUUGUAGUUUUUUUGGGGAGUAUCUAUUUGGCUUUGAGCUUAUGGCGUGGAAGAAUGUGCUUAGCAGGAGAUAUAUAAUCCAUUUAAGCAAACUGGAUAAAUGAAUAGUAAAGGUAUGGUGGAUAGUAUUAAUCCAAUCAAACUACAACCAAUUCUCAAAAAAAAAAAGGGAAUAUGAAUGGAUAAUGUAAGUAAAACCACAAUCCAUCCAUUUAACCAUUUUCUCAAUGCCUAACAAGAAAAAACUAUUCAUCCUCCUCAAGCCUUACACAGUUAGACAACUUAGACUCGUGAUUCGCAUACACUCCAAAUCCAACUCACACAAAGACCAAGCAAAAAUACACCCAAAUAUUGAAAUAAUUGGACAUGAAUUAAAAUUGGGAGGUAUACUAUUGGUUAUAAGUAGAUAGUCCUUCUAGUGCAGAAUUAUUUGUGAGACAUUAAAACAAGACUGAUAAAGAAACAGAAAAUUUUCAAGCCUUCACCAAGUAAUGCCAAGGGUAUGGUUGUUGACAUAAGGAAUUUCUGUUUAUAGACAGUUUUUCUAUGACAAUCUUCUAUGUGUAAAGAGAUAGUUUUUCUAUUGACUGAGAAGAACUUUUUUUUUUUUUUUAAUCUUCAACAGAAAUUUAAAGCUUGCAAGAAUUUUCCAUGAAAUUCACUAACCAUAUUUUUGAGAAUUUAGUAUUUCAACAAUCUUGGUUUAAUUUUUAUGCUCUUCUUGUGCAAUACUAUUUAGGUUCAAAGUAAGGAUAAGAGCUGUUUAAAAGAAGAAAUGUGGCUUGGGCUUUCAGGAUUGUUCUUUCUUCCUCUUUUUUUUUCGGGGAUUUCUCUAUUUCUUCCAAAAGUAAAAAAAAUGAGGUGAAGAUUUAUUAGACGAAAAUGUCAGUUGCUAUAUAUGUCUAUAAAAGAAUCCCCCACCAAAUACACUUGUUCAUGCAUCAUCCAUCACUGUUCAAUUGUAAAAAUAGGAUUGGUUUUAACCACUUGCGAUAAAAUUAGGUCUUCAAUAUUGGUUGCAUCCAAUGUAUGUAGAUUUCUCUUUUAGCCUUUUUUUUUAAAAAAUUUGUGCGUAGUGCACCUGUAAUCACAAAUAAUAGGUUUGGAAUAAUCUAUGCUUCAGGGAUAUCAUGGCACAAAAUUGAGGCCCUUUCUAUCAAAACAAAUUAAAAACAUUUCUAAUCAUCUUUUUGUUUCACAUACAUCACGUCAGUAUGGUAAGUUUUGUAUAAAAACUCUCAAAAAUAGUAAUCAAAAUUUUAAAGUUAUAGAAGUGUUUCAUCUUUUAAUUAGCUAAUUUGACGUCUUCCUUUGAUCUUAGUCUUAUUCUUUUUGUGAUGCCCUUUGAUACCAGAAACCUUUGAACUUUGAAAAAAAUCCUAGAAUCCAACUAGCCAUGUCUUGUCAAUAGGAUAUUGCCACAAGGAAGCUGUGUAUCCUGAAAGUUACAAUCAUUCAAGAUAUUGAAAUUAAUAAUCUAAGCCACGCCUUUGAGUUUCCGAAGAGAUAAAAAUACAUGUUCUUUAACCCGAAUACAAUAAUCAGGAUUUGCAAACUAGUAAAAUGAACCUGCUUCACACUUGAAUUAAGUAUGAAAAAUUAAAAUUUACUCCCUUCAUCCCAUUUUGAUAGUUUUAUUUUUCCAUUUUCUAAUUGCAGAAUAUAGUUUUUUUCCCCUUCGUCUUUUAACUUCUCUAGAAUAUUGUUAUUUAAUAUAUUUUGUUAUCAGUGAGCAUAACUUACCAUCAGUAUUGUUGUUGUGAUUAAUGCAAAGAUAUAAUUAUUAGUCAUAUUUCUAAUAUUAAUGUAAAGGUUUUAUAAAAACUAGUAGAUAAGAUUUAUUCUUCCAAAAAAAUUAACUAAUUUUUCUUAAACUGUGCAAAAGAAAAUUAAAACUAAGUGGCGGAAGGAGUACCUUUCUUGAAAAUUUAAGCAGUUAUAUGGACGUUGAUAGUGAAUAUAUGUAAAGCAUUUACUUGAUAAUUUAUUACUUGAUAAUUUAUCUUGUGCAUCGGAUUGCAGUUUAGCUUAUAUUUAGACGUAGAAAACUGAUCUUAAUUACUAUGCGAAAGACUAGAGAGCAAAAACCAUACAGAAAGUAGCUUAUUUGACACUUGUUUAUCAUCAUGGAGCAAUUGCAUAACUCAAUGGGAUCAAAACAGGUUUGAGAUUAGAAAGCAAGCACAUGAACUAACAUAUAACUCACCGAUACAGUCACAAUAUGCUGUUUUUCAGGCCCAGGUCUGUCAACAUUCAGGCUUACAAGUUACAACAUAGAUUGCCAAGGACUGCUGUCCUGAUAUCUAACAAAUUUCAUCCAAAAUCCUUUGAGGUUAAACCAAGAAGCCAGAAUACAUCAUUUCACUCCAAAAUUCUAAUAAUAAUUUUGUUAUCUUAACAAACUCAUGGGAUAUAUGCAAGGCUAGUAGCCUAGUACGUAUAGUUUCAUUUUCAUAAUCUUGGUUGGGGAAUUGAUUUCCUUAGUAUGCAAUACUGUUAGGUUCAUGAGUAAAGACUUAUAUCCCAUAUUGAUUCGAGAAAUGAAGAAAGAGCGGUUAAUAUAUAAGUAAGGAUUGGAAACCUAAUAGUUUAAUUUUUUGGAUCAGAGUUGAAUUCUUAACUUAUAUAUUGGGUUCUUUGAUGGGCUCUCUCGAGACAUUUUUCCCUAACAAGUGGUAUCAGAACUUGAUUGCGAGAUUGGACUGCUCACAAGCACUUGAAUUUCAAUAAACUGGUAUCAGAGCAGUGUUCAUGGUUGGAUCCUGGUUGACUAUUGAAAUCAAGUGGAUUGAUGGCCAUUACCAAUUGAACAAUUUAAUGGGUGAUAUCUUUAUUUCAAUGGCUUGGCAAGAAGCAUUGAUAGUAAAUGAUAGAAAGCCAAAAAGUAUAGAGAUACUUGACGGUGAAUUUUGGCAGAUGAUUCAAGGAUAAAAAAAAAAAAAGUGGAGUCCAAUAUUGAUUUUCGAUGUGAAUCAGUGGAGACUUUCUCACAACUCUAUCGGUUGAUACUUCAUCAUAGUGGUUUUUAGAUUUCAAUUAUGUUCUUUAGGUGGAGUGACAUAUGUCCUAAAGAAACAAAGGAAUCUAAUUUCCAAAUGCCAGAAAACUCUGAUGACAAAAAGUUUUACGUUGCAGGUGGAGUUUUAGAACCACACAUGGUGAGACAGUCUUGAAGAUGGGAAUACAUAUGGUGAUUUUACCACUUGGUUGUCUGAAUAGUUAAAAAUAGAGCUCACAAAAAGGGAUCUCGAGUUGCAAGUGGUGGUAAGAAGAAAUCUUGCGAAGGGAGAUGGUGUAUUGAGAUAUCUUCUCCCGAGUGAACAGAAGGUUAGACUCAGGGUAACUACAUAUGUUCAUUUGUCAAUUGAAUCAAUUCGAUAUCAGAACUGUAUUGGUUCGGAUAUGUAAUUCGGUACCAUAUUAUUUGGUAGUUGAAAACAAAUAAUUGUUAAAAGAAAUAUUCAUUAAGAUAGAGAUUUGUUCGGAAAUUGGUUUAAUUUCUUUUAGGCAGAUUUUUUUGUUUUAUGUAUAAGUAACUAGUUUUUUAAUUGGUUUUAGUUACUUGAAAUAGUAUCCAAAAAAUUUUCUAUUUUAUUUAGAAAUUAGAAGUUAUUUUCUAUUCCGAACCAAUCUAAAAAUUAGUAUUAGUUUUCUGUUGUUAUUUGGUUCUUGGUCAAAUAAUAUACUUUAUAAAUAGAUGGGUUGAUAUAUUAUACAAAAGGCAUACAAGAGACACACAAAGGCGACAUGUAGUUUUAUACAUGGAGUGAGAGAAGAUUCUUAAGAGAUGAGAAAUGGUAUUUAAGGAUUGAAUUUGGGUUCAAAUUGUAUUCUUGUAUAGGGAUUUUUUAUAAAUAAUGGAUUUCUCUCCAUUGACGUAGACUGAACUACGUUAAAUAUCGUGUAUCGUUUUACCUUUUAUGCUUAUGACUUGUUUGUCAUUAAAUAGUUAUGUACUUGAUAUAUCAAUAGUUGUUUGUUCUGUACUUGGAUCCUAACAAGUGGUAUCAAAGGUUCAAUGUAAGGGGCUACUCAUGAAGGGAGAGAUUUGUUAGGUUUAUCAGUAAAGGAUUAUGUCUCACACUGAUUUGAGAGAUGAAGAAAAAGCAGUUAAUAUGUAAGUAAGGAUCCGAAAGCUAAUAGUUUAAUCUUUUAGAUUAGAGUUGGAUUCCUAAUUUACAUAUAGGCAUGUCAAUGAGUAACGUCUGAGUGAGAUCGCUUUGAUUCAGAUCCAGACCCAUUUUAUUUAGUUAGAUCCAGACCCUUUUGAGUCUGAAAAAGUAAGUCCAUACCCAGAUCCAUAAGGAUCUGGGUAUCCAAUAAGCAUCCAUAGGCAUUUUCUAAAAAUACUAAAGUAAAAAUGUAUUAAAAAUAUAUAAAGUACAUAUAUAAUAGAAAUACCAUCCAAUUUUUGUUUUCAAAUAAUAAAAUUAACAUUCAACAAAUUGAAUGCAAUAUUUUGAACUCAAAGAAAUAAUUAUUAUUGACUACUUCUAUAUGUUUUUAAAAAUUUAACUGCAUCCACAUCAAUAUUUCAUUUGUUUGCCUUUAACUUUUUACCUUUUCUUGAAAAAAUUUGUACGAAUUAUAAUGACAACUAGGAUUAGUUUUUAAAAAAGAAAACAAUCAUAAUAUAUAUAAAUAUCUAGUCUUAUUAAAAAAAUAUAAUUUUGUACCUCUUUUUCUUAUUUAAACCUCAAUGUUGGUAGAUAUCUUGCAAUCCAGCACUAAAAUAGUGAAUGAAAUAAAAAUCAUUUGAUUAAGGACUGAUAGCAAAUAUAAAAUAGAAUAAGAAGAUUUAUAAACACUUACUCAUUUUUUCUUUAAUUCAAUCCAAUCAUUAGUUGCCACUAAUGUUUCAAUCACAUCUAGAAGCAAUUUGGUAGAGUCUCAUCAAUCACCCAACCACCAACACUAAAUGCAGAUUCUGAUGCCAUAAAAUCUUAUUUUAUUCGAUCCAAUAGCCAUAAAAUAUUAUAUUAUUUUAUAAAUUUUCUAAUAUAUAUUAUUUAAUUAAAUAUAUAUGAGUUUGGAUAAGAUCUAAUAUGAAUUUGGAUUUGGAUAUGAAUUCUAGAAAAUCAGACCCUAUCUAAACCCAUGACUCUCUCAUAUGGUCUGGAUCUGGGUAGGGUCUGGAUUUGAGAAAUUAAAUCCAAAUUCUAUCCAAAUAUAUUGGGUCUAGAUUGGAUUUGGAUAAAAUCCAACCCAUUGACAUGCCUACUUACAUAUUAGGUUCUUUGAUGGUUUCUCUCAAAGCGUUUCUCCCUAACAAACACUGCUAUCUUGAAGAUCCAUAUAAAAAUUUCUUGAAGCCCAGCGAAUAUUUUAGAAUAUUUUGUUUUCCUUUCUCCUUUUUUUUCUUUUACUUUGGCUAAUUUUUUAGAAAUACAUUAUUACAAUUGUUUUACUAUAAUUGUUUAUUUGCCAAAAGAAAAGGACUAUCUUUUGGUACAUUUUAAGUUGAUGAAUCAGUAUUCAUCCGAAUAAAAAAAGAAAAAGAAAAGAAAUUGGUCAGCUGGUAGAGCAAGAUAUUUAGUAUUUGUUUGAAAGAAGUUCUAAAGCAUUAUAAUAUUUAGACUUAGAUGCAUCAAAUUUUUAUUAACAUUAAACAGGAUCCUGAAAGCCUAAUAAGUUAUUAAUUUUCAUUGCAUAAGAGGGGAACUUCUAACUCAUAAUAUGUCAUACAAAGUAAGCCAUGAACAUGAAGAGAAUCAAAGGCAUAGUAAGGAAUGUAGAAAGAGAAAAGAUAGAAAAUCCUAAAAGGGAAAAUUGAACAAAUAGUUCCUUACAUCCAGACAACAUCCUUCUUCAUCCAAUCGUAUUUAAAAUGAUGCAUUUCAAGUGCUUACAUACUCAAAAUACAACAUUUUUGUUGAAAUGCAAAUCUUAAUUGGAAUUUUUUUUCUUUUGGCCUGGAAAUUAUAUGCUUAUCACAAUGAAAGAUAGCGGACGAUAGUGCUGUCUUUAAUAUUCUAAAUUUGAUAAUUAACAAACUGUUAAUGAAAAAGGACUAAUGCUUUAAGUAGUAGAUAAUUAACAUUCCAAAUACGACAAUAUUUGUUUGCCAGAUAAAAAAUCUGAUACAGAUUAUGACAACUGGUUUGCAAUUACAUUGAUCAAUCAAGUGGCAAGUUAGUUUUGGUUGCAAAUUAAGUUAGUAUAAUAGAGUUGGUCUAAGGUUGAAAAUGAUUUUCAUCAAAAAAAUUAAGUUGCAAACAAAGGAAGUUAUUCUAGUAAUCAUCAAAGACAUCAUGCAAACAGGUUACCUUUUCCGCAGCAAAUCUAACCCAGAAGCGAGAAUUGGCUCUUUCAUAAGGAUGUUGAGGCAAAAAAAGACUGAUUCCACACUUUUUUUUUUUUUUUUUUAAAUCUUUGUGUCAAACUAAUCUCUUUGCGCUUGUGCGCCCGCCCUCCAAAGAUACACAAGGUAUAAAGAGGUGACUCAAACACACCAUUUCGAGAUCUAAGUAAAUUAUUUCAAGACCAUCUGAGCCAAUCCAAAGGACGACUGUUUCCACACUUACAUCAGUAAAUUCUCGGAUCACAAUUGACUCUGAUAUUGGUUUUCAAUCAUGAGCUAGCACAGGAACUUGUUCAUGAACAGGACUCAGCUUCAAGAGUGUUCAAUGUAUCCAUACUCUAAUCCUUUUAAUUUCAGUGCCCACUUCACCCUUAGAGCAUAUGGGCUCACCCAAAAUCCCAAGAGCUUCACUUCCGGCCUGAUUCUCUUCCAAUUAGAAUUGUAGUCUUGCAAUAGUUGGGUACUGGUAUUGAAUAGUCUUGUUGGAAGAGCUAAGACUGUAAUCGUCAUAUUUGACCAUUUAGGCUCAUGGAGACGCAUCAUGCAUGACGACAUCACAAUUAUAAUAUUUAUGCUUUUGACCAUUUUAUGCAAUAUUUACUUUUUACUUUGGACAUUAAGGGUAAAAAAAAUUUCUAAUUCGAUUGGAUUGAGUUUUUGUUUUGGCAUUUACCUGUCCUAUAUGUUGCUUCCAUAUAUUUUCAGUUAAUCCAGCACCCAAAAAAAAAAAAAACCUGCAUACUAUUUCGUCCUUUUUUUGUUUGUGGAGACCGGGGGGUCUCAUAUGAGAAAGCGCAUGGCAAUUAAACUACUAAUGUAUUCUGGUACCACCCACCAAUACAUCCCGUUAAUACUUGGACCAAACAACAUUAUGAAAAGAAAAAGGAGAAAAUAACUACUAAUUACAAGUUCAAUACUCGUUUUCACCAAUAUAUUUGUACAAGAAUAUAUUUCACGCCAAUAGUGGCUUAAUUUAUAUUCCCAAUCACAUCAUAACGUAUCAUUUUAUUGUAAUUUAUUAUACAAAACAAUGAAGUACGGAUUAAAAUAAAAUAAUAGACAAUAUACACAGAUUAAAAUACAAUAAUACAUCAUUAAUCUAGUAGUAGGGUAAUGUGUUACAACACAUAGGACAUUGUCUUAUUCCAAUGGACAAAACACGGCCAGAAAUCUCUGGAAAUGAUUCAACUUUUCCUAAACAGUCUUGUGAGACAUUUUCUGAUAAGCUAUUUCUUUGCUACGUUUGGAGUAAUAAGCAAACAUCUGAUCUUUUUGUGGUAAACCUUCAUUAAUCAGUGGAUGGUUGAGAAAAUUUCUGGUCCACUCAGAAAUGGCUGGGAACUUUGAUGAGUCAAGAAUCUUGAGGGAUCCAACUUCCUCAUGCACGGGCAGUUGAUAAGAAAUACAGCCAGCUACAAUAUCCACAAAACCAAUUGUUUCCCCUCCAAAGAACUUUGUCCCUCUUCGUUUUAGCUCCUUUUCAAACUCUUCAAACGCCUCCACUGCUAAUUUUACUGCCUUCUGCUUUUCAUCACCACUAGAACACAUAGCUUCCACCACAGAUUGUCUAACCUGGACAUCACACAACAGCCAUGAAAUUAGGCUUGAAACCGAAAUAAGGGGUUAUCAGAUUUUAAUGCUACCGCACAAAUUUAGGCCACAAUAGGAGCCACUUUGUAAAACAAAUCGGUAAUAGAGUAUAGUAUAGAGAGGUUCAAUCAAAUACUUCAAACAUAACCUGUUAAAUAAGGAAAAGAAAAAUUUGGAAAUGUUGCAAUAAAAUGGUUAAAAUAUUAGAACUAUAUUGAAAGUUUGUACAACAAGCCUCGUGAGGUCUACAAAUAUGCUAGUAGACCGUGUAGUCUAAGUAAUUGAGGCUAAUUGUUAUGUAUUCAAAUCUGUUAGUAUAUGUAUAUUGAUAUUGUUCAUGCAGACAAGAUUAAGCAAUAAUAAUUCAAUAAACUUCAUGCAUAUCUUUUACAGGAAAAUGCCUUCGUUAGAAUUUAAUAAGGCACGUCUAAGGAACAAGUUGCCAGUAAUAAAUAAGUAAUCAAUACCUUCUCUUCAGCAAAUUUAGCCCAAAAGUGUGCUUGGGCUCUUUCAUAAGGAUCUUGAGGCAACAGGGGAGCCUGUUUCCACACCUCAUCAAUGUAUUCAAGAAUGAUUAUGGAUUCUGAAAUUGGCUUUCCAUUGUGAACAAGAACAGGAACCUUUCCAUAAACAGGGUUCAAUUUCAACAGCAAAGGGCUCUUAUUGUAUUUAUCUUCUUCUAUGUAUUCAUACUGAAUGCCUUUUAGCUUCAGUGCCCACUUCACCCUUUGAGCAAAUGGGCUUACCCAGAAUCCGAAGAGCUUUACCCCACCAGCUUCUUCCAUUUUAGAGUUGCAGACUUGGGAAAUUCGGAAGUUGCAAAAUACAACCCUGGUAUAUAUGAACUCCUAAAAGAACAAGUCAUCAAUUUGAAUUUUGGCAAGAGGUUGCAAUAUAUAACCCUGGUAUAUAUGACAUGAAGGACAAAUCACCUUGAUUUUGGACUUUUCUGAAUCACCACCCAAAUUGGAUUUUGUUUCUUUGCAUUGACCUUUUCUAGUAUCUUCCAUUAUUUUAAGUUUCAUUCUAUUGCAGAUGCUAAAAAAAUUUUCAAUACGUACUUUCUCAUUUUUAGUAGAUUAGUUUACGUGGCGAAAAAUGAUUCUUUAAUUUUGUUUAUACUUCUAUGUAGAGAGACAGAUAUUGCUGGACAAGUUGCAAUGUUGAAUUGACUAGUAAAAAUGCUCCUUCCAUUUGAUCACGAGUGAUCUCAGCCAACAGACUGGUUUUGAAUGGUUUUGAGCUUAACAGAAAAAUGCAAUCAGACAUAGAAUUUAAUGGUGACUUGAGAUCUAGGAAUUUGAGGUCUGGGUUCUAAUUCCUCUAUCACUUCCCCGCUUCUUAAAUCCUGUGUUCCCCUCCUAGAAAUAAAAAUUGAAAUAAAAGUAGUAACUUUGACACUAAUAUCUAUCUCCUGCUAUGUGCAUUACUACUUAUCAACUCGUUAAUAUGAAUAUUUCAGACUUAGCAUCUAUGCUAGUGAAGUUGCAUUCGUUUUAUGAAUUUGGAUGUAAAAUAGAUCUCGAGGAAACUCAGUUCAAUCAGUUUCUUGAUGCAGAGAUUAAAAAAAAAAAACUUAGCUAAUAAGCCCUUUCACUAAACAAAUUUCAACAGAUUAUUUUGUUAAUUUACUAGAACCAUGUAAUUGGAUAGAAUUACUCCAGUAUAUAAUUUAUAGAUGGUCAAUUAAAAAACCAAUACUAUGAUUGCCAAAAUUUUAAACCUGAAGAUGCAAUGGCAAAGAUGUACAGAGGAUAGAUAGCUGUGCUUAAGUUAAUCAGGGAACAUGAGAGCCCUCUGGAUUUCCUCGAGUACAAGGGCUGGAAUUUGGUUCUCGGGCAUUAAGUUAUCCUUUGUCAAUCUCUCAAAAGCAGAAUCAACUUCAUUCCCUGAAUUACUACACUCAUAGGCACUCAAAAACUGAAGCAAAUACAUACCAUCAAUUGCCAUUAUCCAUGCUAAAGUAUCACCAUUAAGGUCCAGGUCCCUGUUAUAGCAUGCUCGGAUGGAGGGCUCAAUCGUUUUCAGCUUAUUAAUCAAAGUUCUUCAAAAUUAUCAAGUAUUUCUGGCUGAACAGACUUUUUUGCUACAGCAAUCUUCUGUUUCUGCAUUCAAUAAUGCUCUAGGCGCAAACUAUGAUAGGUUCCUAUACCAAUUCGCUGAGGGACAUAAGCUUCUAGUUUUGUGUCACCUGAACUUUUGGGAACUCCAAAAGCACAAUGAGGGAUGUCAAUGUCUAUCUUGAGCUCUUUCCUGACCCGAUCAACCCAGCGUUUCUAGCUUAAACUUGAACCAAGAAUUAAAUCAUUCAUCUCGUUGAUGAUUGCUGAGUAUUUCCUCAGGUUGUGGCUUAAUUAAUAUGUCGUGAUGCAAAAGCAUGUAAUUAGCUUUUUGACCUUUCAAAACAUUGCAAAGAAUCAGUUUUUGUUCCCAUUGUUUUGAUUAGAAAUUCUAAUCUACCUUUUUCUUGUCUGAAUACAGAUUAACCACUCUUUCCUAAAAAAUUUCUACCUCUAUAUGGGCACAACCUCUUCGUGCUUAAUCAUGAAUCAUUCACGCUUUUGCUCAUGGGAUCAAGCUUGUGAAUGAAUAAGGUGAAAUACCUAAAUGUAAAAAAAGUUUUACCACAUCUAGUUGAUCUUCAGAGUUAACCAAACAAGGGAACUAUAGGGGUUCAUUAUUGUUCCUGAGAUUUAAUUGCGUAGAAACAAGUAAAAUGCUCAUUGAGCACUAGUUCCACAAUCCCAAUUUUUUUUCAUUACCCUUUGGUACUAUUAAUCAUAACUAGACCUAAUCUACGACUAAAUCAUGCAUUAAAAAUACUUAAGAUAUACGGUUAAAAUUUUAAUUUGUGGUAGGGAAUAUGAUUAACUAAUUUUGUACUAGUUUUCUCUAGUGUCCACUGGUCAGAUACCUAUUUCAGCUAAUAGACAAAUGCAGUGCAGAAAGUAGGACAAUAGGACAACUACCUUCUUUGGCUCAUUUCCUCCCAUAGUGUCUAUCAAAUUCUGUAGGGAACUUGUGGGAAGAAAGCGAAAGCAGCAGAAGCACAGAAACAAGGAAACAGGGGCAUAUGGGAAGCGUAGGAAACCUAAGCGCAAUGCCCAAACAAUAACGCCUUUUUUAAUCGUCAAGUGGGAGGUCGAAGUAGAGAAACACGAGAUUGGAAACCAAAGCGCGAUGCGCGAACAACAUAACACCUUCAACCCACAUGCUAGGACGAGAAUGACGAAGGAAUCGGGCUGAAUCCAAUUAGCAUUUUAUCUACUUAUGUUGAUAAACAACAAUAAUAAAGAAAACUUUAGUUUUUAAAAUAUAAAUCACUAAAAUGUAGAUUAGAAAAAGAAAACAAAAUGAUAGGCAACGCAAAAACAAGAAAGUCCAAAAAAAAAGGAAAAAAAAAGGAAGGAAAGUAAAGAAUGGCAAAGUUCUACAAUAAUUUUUUUCCCCAGCUGAUCAUUGCUUCAUCCUUUCCUUUCUUAGCAAAAAAAUGUACCAUUCAAUAUGUUAAUCCUGAGUACGUGACAAGGAGAGUAGGGGUGGCAAUUUCUGAUAUGACCUAAAAACAUGACACGAAUCUAACAUAAAAUUAAUGGGUUUUAUUUGAGGUUUCGCGGGUUCGGGUCAAAAUCGGAUCGAAUUCGAAAAGAAAACGGGUCAAAUUCAGGUCAACCCGAUAACCCGUUUACGAAUUAAAAAUAAUUUUAUAAAUAUAAAAAAUUAUUUUAUCUAACUAAACUAAGUUAUUCGUUUUUUUCCAAAGGUAUUAAUCACUUAAUCUUAAAUGAAUUUAUUUAACUUGUGUGAAGUUGAAAUUAUUAUAUUUGGACAAAUAAUAUAAUAUAUUAUUUUUUACUUUUAUAUUGUUUUAAUUUAUUUUAUAUUUGAUUUGUGAUAAAACACUUUUACGGUGUUUUAAUUUAUUUUAGAUUUGGUUUGGGAUUAUUUAUUUAAAUUUUAUUACUUGAUUAUGUAAUUAGUCUUGUGCAAAAUUAGUUUUAUUAGAAAUUACAAUGAUAAAUUAAUAAAUUAAAAUUAAGUUUUGGGUCAUUUGGGUCGACCCGUCAACCCGAAUAUUUUGAGCUCGGGUCAGGUAUCCUGACCCAGUUUCGAGUUGACGGGUCAGGUUCGGGUCAGCAGAUUUUCUGUUAUAUCCAGGUUUCAAUCCAACCCGCCAAUCUGAUUUGGACCCGAUUGCCACCCCUAGCAAUAAAGAGGGAGAAAGAUAUACCAACUGGGGUGGAUGAAGAAACCACCAUAGUUGAAUCAAUUUCUUCCUCAACUUCUGUGGGAUGGAGCUGUUUCACUGAGCUUUUCUACUCUUGUGCAUGUUCCUUUUUGGUCUUACAAAUAUUUUUGGGCUUUGUAAUGCGUUGAAGUUUAGAUGGUUAAGGGGCCUUUUAGGCCUCAUGCCUUUUUUUUUUUUUUUGAUUUGAUUGGUUGGGACUUGUGAAAUGCAAGUAGAAUGAUGUUGUCUUGUUAAUUUGGUUGGACAAGUUUCUUCAGGUAGUUGCUCUUUAGUCUGCUGAAAAAUUACUUGAAUUUGAAAAAGGGCUGGCACUUAAAAUAUGGGCCUAAUAAAAUCUUGAGAAAUACUUUAAUAAAUGGAAAAGUUCAAGACUUGAAAAUGGGCGUGAAAAAUAGUAGGUCUCAAAGUUCACCCAAAAAUGCUCGGGACGUGCAAUGUUCAUACCUUAUUGGUUAAAGAAUUACGAGAGAAAUGCAGUUUUGAUUCCCAAUGUUCGGCCUAUAUGCUGAAUUGGACCCUAAUGUUUAACCAAAAUAAAUGUGGUCUCCAAAAUUUUUAAUUUUCAGUAGAUUUAAGACAAUUGACAGAAAUUCAACCAUUCCUAACGGUCAAAAUCAUAUUUCCGUUAGUCAACUAUUUUUGAAUUUGUAUUUUGAGUCUUCAAAGUUUGUAAUUCAAAUCAUUAUAGUCCCUUAAGUUUGGAAUAGUAACAUUGAGGGUUUUAGGAUGAAACUAAAUAUGAAUUGUGUUGAAAAUGUGCCAUAUUUACUAAAAAUUUUAUUAUCAAAAAGUAUGAAAAAAAAAUAAACCUUUCUUCUUCAUUUUUUGUUUCUUUAUUUCAUUAGUUAUAUUACUAAUUUCUAAUAUAUUUCUUAUCUUUUGUAUAGUUGAUCUCAAAUUUUGCAAAAUAUAUCUAAUCAUAUCAAUAAUCAAUUGAAAAUGGAUUUUACCAAUUUCACUUAUAUUGAUAAUUAAGCACUCAAUUUAAUAUCCCUUAAAAUGCAACUAUAUGUAAAUUAAGGUGAUUGAAAAACAAUUUUUCCUUUUAGAUUUUUUUGGCAUUUCAAUUAGUUAUCAAUUAAGUCUCAAAUGAGUAGAUAUUUUAUAUAAUUGUUUAAAUACUUUAAUAUAAUCAAUGUUGUAGGUGAAUAUACAUACACACACACACAUAUUAAAUUUUAUUAUUGAAAUACUUAAUUUAGAAGGAAAGAUAAGAAAAAACAGCAAGCAGUCUUUUCAAUUGGCUUUGCGAGAAGGUCUCUUUGUACUUCACACGGUAAUUACUUUUACACAUUAAUGUAAUCAUGAAUCUUAACCAUAACCGAUUGAAGCCUACCUCCACAAAUCAUGCUAUUAUUUAUAUAAUAGUGUUAGAAUAAAGUUAUAUACUAAAAAUUAGGAUUCUCUAUGUUUCAUUAAUUUUUUAAGAUAUUAUCCAUGUAUCAUUAUUCAAUUGUACUUAAUUCUACAAAGAAAUGUUUUUUAGGCUAAAAGAUUGUGUUGCGUCAAUGUGAAGUGUUUUUAGCAAUUUUUAUAGGAUUUUAGAACACAUUUAUCAUGCAUUUUAGUUAAUAUUUUACUUCUUUGAAAACCUUAAAUAUAACCAUUUGAAACAUAAAAGGACCAUAUUGAUCAAAAUUUCAAAAAUUAUGGACCAAAAAUGCAAAAUUAAAACUUUUGACUAACUCCAAUUUGAUUUGAUUGUCAUAUUUUGUAAUUUGUCGUUAAUUGUCCUAAACUUGCAUAAAAUUAGAAACUCUAAGGGCCACAUUUGCUUUGGUUGAAACAUUAGGAACUAAUUUAGAACAUCAACCAAACAUUAGAGACCAAAAUUGUAAUUCUCCCUAGAAUUAAAUUUAUGUUGACAUAUUUGUGGCACGUUAUUGGAUGUUCAGCUAUGAGCGCAGAUUUAUGGCAAUGAAGUUAUGCUUUUAUAUAUAUAAAAAUCUAGUUAAAGAAUUGAACUUAAAGAUUUGCCAUUCAGAAGAAAGAUUAAGAAAUCAAGCUGCUAAACGCCAAACUUAUAAUUUUUUUGGGGGGGGGGGGGGGGGGAGGGGAGGGUGUUAUUUGUUGUGUACUCGCUUGGAAUCGUUUGUCCUGAAAUUACCUGUCUAUCCUGUGUUUACAUAGUUGUUACGUGUUUUGAUUGCAUUGAUAACUCAAGCAAACCUUUCACUUUUUGAUUGAGUUUGUAUUAAUUUAUUUUGAGUUAUCAAUGCAUCAAUACGCAUGACAGCUCUUAAACACGAGACAAACGGAACAGAAGUAAUUUGGAGAUAGAGGUUUUGAAGCGUUGUGUACUCGACCCUUAUUAACAGAAACCGUUUACAACCUUUUUUUGUGCCAGUAACAGAAACUGCCAAGGAAACUGUCCAUUCACAACCUAUAACCAAAAUACAAGAAAAGGAUAAUAAAAUACCAAGGUGGGAAAAGGCAAUAAAAAAAUUUCUAUAAGAGAAAGAAGCAGGCUCAAAGAUGCUAUGACUUCUUGCCAAACCAGCGAGAACUGCAGCCAUAGACAUCGCAAAAAGCUUGAAAAGCUAGCAGCACCACUAUUAAUACGUAAAGAAAAAUUCUGACACAAACUUCUGAUGGUCUAAAAUGUUGCCUCAGAAAAGUCCAAAUUUUGAUCCUGAAUGAAUCAUCAUAUCCUCUAUUCAAUUCAUCAAUGGUCAAUUCUAU
rnacentral:lncRNA from 1 species